CACAAUGUUGGAGUCUGCAUGGUCUCUCAGAUCCUUCAGCCACUGGCUCACGUUUUUAAAUGUUGUUGAUUUUGUCACAUCAUAAAGACAUAAACUAAAAGAGCUCCGAGUGCACCCCUAUAAUAGGCACUGUUUAUAACUCUGUAUCGCUCCUGGCCUGCAGUACGCAUAUCUGGGCUUUUAUUGUACUUCAACCUGAAAAUCACAGAUUUCUCUCUAAUCAUACAACAAAAUGCUCUUUUAGGAAAAAAUUUCCAAUUUUGAUUGACUCUGGAGUUGCUAGAAAAAAAAUUUCUUUGGACAGAUCUUACAGCAAUUCAAUCCUUGUUACAUGAUGAAGCAAAGUUUUCAAAUAUUAUGCACUAGAUUAUUAUUUUGUUUCUUGAAUUCAAAACUCACAAAACCCUAAGACCUCUUUAAAUUUCACACACUAGUAUGAGUUGACAAUAACUUUACACCACGAACACUUGUAGGAUUGUUAUAAGUAAUUAAGACACUGUGUUCUCUUUUUUGACUGUCUCUUGUACCCCAAACAACCACAGGAUAGUAACACAAUGGCUAAAAAUUGUAAAUGUUUCAGAACAUGAGUUGCACCCAUAACAACUCAGUAAAUAAUUUUUUCACCCUGAUUAAACACAUAUACUUGUUUUUUCAGGAAAAGUAUAAGAUAUGGUAACUUGAUAAACUCAAAAAUCAUGGGUGGGAUGUAACUCUGGGGCUUUAUCUCAUGUGGGAAACAGUCAAGAGAGAGAGGUCAACUAAAACGCAAAAUGUGAAAUGAAUACUCAGCUCUAGCUCAAAGUUGACAUACUUUUCUUUCACAUCCGCCACUCAGUCUCAUCACCCUAUGUCCAAACAGGCUAAAGCUGCAAUUACUGUCAACCCCAAGUAUCAGCUUUGAUUCACGAUUUCAAGACAUGAAAUCCCAAAUCUAACUUGCCAAAACUCAACAUCAGGCUUGAACAGAUUGGUUUCGACUUGCAUAACUAACUUCAACAUAUGGAGAACAGUCUUUCUCACAUAUCCAAGAAAACAUUGAAUGCCGAUCUAAUGAAUUAAUUGCAAUUCUGAUUCCACUCUAACAUGCAAAAAGUCAACAACUCGUUAGUUUCAACUUGCAUCACGAAGACAACAACAACAACAACAUACAGAGAACAGCCCUACUCACAUAUACAAGUAAACACCAAAUGCCGAUCUAAUUAUCCAAUUCAAUGACGGAAUCUGCCGUUGCAUGAUUUUCACUUGAUGAAUAAAUUACAUCUAAAAUAUAUAAUUUAAUCCAAACUUUCAACUUGAUAUAUAGCUAUCACAAUUUGGCGCUGCCACUUCCCUUAACGCAUAAAAUUAAUCAUUUAAAUCGUGGCCCAAAAUAUUCAGAUUUAAAUUAUAAAUCAUUCUUUUUCAAAUAGCUUAAAUAGCAUUCAAGUCUAAACUCCAAAAAAAAAAAGAGUCAUUUCAUGUGAAUUACAAUCUCAUAAUGAUAGAUCCAAUUAAAUCUCGUACAAACUAAAUCAAUAACCGAAUUAUAAAUUAAAAUCAUAAAUCAAUCAUCAUACUAAUAGUAAUUAUGCAUUAACAUUGAAAACAGAUAAAAAAAUUGAACCACUUCCAGUUCAAAUGAAUCUACAAAAAUCUAUCAUAGCUAAAUGAUGCAUGUGUAUAAACAACAACUUCGAUGGAUUAAUUUAAACCAGUCAUCUAAAUAUUCGAAAUAAUUCAAAAUCAUUGCUUUAAAACUUCAAUUACUAGCGAGCAAGGCUGGGAGACGAAGGAUUGACCAAGACUGAGAGUAAGAGAGGGAGGGAGAAAUUUUAAAUUUUUAUGAUGAUUUUUGAAUUUUAAGAAUAAUAUGAAUUUAGUCUGAUAAAAUAAAUUUCUUGCGGCUAAUGAAUUAUUUAUUUUGCUUCUUAAAAGUCUAAAAAUCUAAAUGGCGAUAAAUCUAUAUAUAUGUUGCGACUAUUUUAAAAUCCCUGCAAGUCAUCCACAAUAACCAACAGCUUAAAAAAUGGGUUAAUGAAGAUGAUAAUACAGAUAAGUUAGUAAACAGAGUUAAAAUAUUAUGUUCUGUUCGGUUAACAAGAAAGUAAAGGAAAAUGUUUAACGGGAGAGAAAUCUAGAAACUGAAGAAUGAGCUGGAAACUAACUAAUUGCAAAGCAUUCUACUUGCAGGAACCUUCUACAACAUGCAAAGCAUGAGCUGGAAACUAACUAAUUGCAACAAAUUCUUGGCGGGAAUUUAAAGUUGAUCUAAUUAUAACUCAAACCUUGUAUUGCUUAGUAAACAGAAUCAAUUAAGCUGAUACACUCUGUUUGACAGUAUCCAAAGGCUACAAGCUUAACAAUCAAAAUAAUCGGAUGAACUUUGUUGAGAUUAAUCGGAUACAGACAUGAAAUUGUUAAAUAAAAGUGAGAUUAAAACCAAACCUCUUCCUUUGUGUCGAAACCGAUCGAGAUCAAAAAAUUUCAAAUGAAAGUGAAAGCUUCUUCGAUCGAAUGAGAGUCAGAGAGUGAGAGCUGAAAUUCAUGAAAUUAGGGAACAAAUCCAUCAAAUUUGGUCAGAUUAAUUGAAAAUAAACCUGAAAAUUCAUGAUGAAUAGCGAAAUUUAAACCAAACGUCUUCGUCUUCAUUGGAACUGAGAUCACAGAAUUUCAAAUGAUUGCGAGAGAGAAAGCUGAUGUGUUUUUUCCUUUUUCUUUUUUCAAACACACCCCUCCCCCACGCGGGGCGCGCGGACGAAAGUGUGGGGCCCAGAGCUAAAGAAUUUUGCUGUUUUUUUUUUUUAACUUUUUCGAAUUUCAAGUACUACGAAAUUUUAAAAUAUUAUUUAUUCUUCACCAUUUUCUUCAGUUUUAGCUUUCUAUAUAUAAUUUUAUCCCAAACAAAAAAAGCUUUCGAUAUAUAAUUGGUUAAGUUAGUUAAUAUAGUCAAAUGUUUUUGACAUUAAUAAAUGUCAUGAAUCCUGUUCCAAUUUUAUUGGCAUAAUAAACAUUUCUUUGUUAAAGUGAUAUAAAAUGAAUAUUUUUAAUGUCAGAAUUUAACUCAACCUAUUUAACUGUCCUUAAAAAUUAUCAAAUAGUAAAUGUCAAUAUUUUCUUUUGGGGAUUGUCAAUUUCCUACUAUUAAAAUUCACUUACUUCCUACUAUUUUCAUAAUAGAUAAUAAUCCUAAUAGUAAAAUUUCACAAUAUUAUUCUUAUUUUCAAAUACACUUUUAUUAAUAUUUAUUAUAAAUUAAAUAAAUCAUAUAAAUAGAAAUUUACAUAAAAUAUUAAUUAUUAAAAAUAAAAAUAUAUAUUUUAUAUGAAUAAAAUAUUAAUAAUAACAUAUUUUUCAUAUACUUUUUGUUACUUCUUAUAUUUAUGAUAAGAAAAUGUUUAUAAAACAAUACAAGAAAAAAAUUUUAUUAAUUUUUUAUUCACAUCAAACUAUAUAUUUCAUAUAUUUCAUUCUUAAUUUUUUUAUUUUAAUUUCCAUCCAUUGGUAUCCUUGGAGCUAGUGUUCACGGCACAAUGCAGCCCUUACCCUAAACACAUACAAUAAAUAUGUGUUGUUUUUUUGUGGUCUAGAGAUUUUCUUGUGACCUAAGUAAUCUACUGCUUUCCCUUUGUAGCCGAUAUCAAUUCUCUAAUUUGUCAAGAAAAUACCAAACAAUACAUAUAUUUAUGUUUUAUAAUAACAAUAAAACAAACCAUUUAAGAAUCCGAUAUGAACGUAAAAAGUUUGGAAACAUAAGUGGAAUCUAUCAGCAAAAUGUCUUGGAUGAAAUUUUAAAAUAAAGAUUAAACUUCUUCAAUUACACUGCCGGUCGUUGCUGCUGUUCUGUCGAAGAGAAGUUGUAAUAAUGAUCUUGGAAUCAAUUCAAGAUCUUGCUGAAAAGUGGCCUCAAAAUUUUGUGGUAAAGCCAAUGACAAGCGGCCAUAAGCUUUCUACCAUAUUGGUACACCACCAAUAUGAUAGCAGUGCAACUCAAUGCAAUGUAGCAAAUGAUUUCAACAGCUGACUGUUUGAAAAAUGUGGAGACCAAUGACACUACUGAAAGAGAUCCAAAGAUAAUAGCGACAAGGCCCCAUAGCUGAGAAGAAUUUGCUUGAUAGCGUUGAGAUAUGUUAUCAGCAGCAAAUGCAAUGUAGUGGACGAUUAUGGCCACCAGAGAAACAUACAAGCUUACUUUAUGAGUUUCCAUCAAUGGCUUAGUUGUGCCUUGCACAGUCGCACCCAUAACAGCGAGCAAGGUUGGGAUGAGACAUUCAAAAAAAAAUAAAAUAUUAAUUAUUAAAAAUAAAAAUAUAUAUUUUAUAUGAAUAAAAUAUUAAUAAUAACAUAUUUUUCAUAUACUUUUUGUUACUUCUUAUAUUUAUGAUAAGAAAAUGUUUAUAAAACAAUACAAGAAAAAAAUUUUAUUAAUUUUUUAUUCACAUCAAACUAUAUAUUUCAUAUAUUUCAUUCUUAAUUUUUUUAUUUUAAUUUCCAUCCAUUGGUAUCCUUGGAGCUAGUGUUCACGGCACAAUGCAGCCCUUACCCUAAACACAUACAAUAAAUAUGUGUUGUUUUUUUGUGGUCUAGAGAUUUUCUUGUGACCUAAGUAAUCUACUGCUUUCCCUUUGUAGCCGAUAUCAAUUCUCUAAUUUGUCAAGAAAAUACCAAACAAUACAUAUAUUUAUGUUUUAUAAUAACAAUAAAACAAACCAUUUAAGAAUCCGAUAUGAACGUAAAAAGUUUGGAAACAUAAGUGGAAUCUAUCAGCAAAAUGUCUUGGAUGAAAUUUUAAAAUAAAGAUUAAACUUCUUCAAUUACACUGCCGGUCGUUGCUGCUGUUCUGUCGAAGAGAAGUUGUAAUAAUGAUCUUGGAAUCAAUUCAAGAUCUUGCUGAAAAGUGGCCUCAAAAUUUUGUGGUAAAGCCAAUGACAAGCGGCCAUAAGCUUUCUACCAUAUUGGUACACCACCAAUAUGAUAGCAGUGCAACUCAAUGCAAUGUAGCAAAUGAUUUCAACAGCUGACUGUUUGAAAAAUGUGGAGACCAAUGACACUACUGAAAGAGAUCCAAAGAUAAUAGCGACAAGGCCCCAUAGCUGAGAAGAAUUUGCUUGAUAGCGUUGAGAUAUGUUAUCAGCAGCAAAUGCAAUGUAGUGGACGAUUAUGGCCACCAGAGAAACAUACAAGCUUACUUUAUGAGUUUCCAUCAAUGGCUUAGUUGUGCCUUGCACAGUCGCACCCAUAACAGCGAGCAAGGUUGGGAUGAGACAUUCAAAAAAUUUUGGGUAUGGAAUUGAGGAAAUCAAACUGUCAUCACUGUAAAACCAUCAAAAUUUAUUUAUGAACAAGUAAUGUUAUAUUUUUAAACUUGUUGCACAUGUGCCUCAAAUUUUAUUUAUGAACAAGUAUGUAAUGUUAUAUUUUUAACUUGUUACACAUGUGUCUCAGGAGUAGCUUAGCUCGAAUGGCUGUGAAUACACUUAUCAAGUACGGUUAUGUAUAUUUUAACAAAAAUACUAGGCAAAAUUUGGUGAGAUACGCUCAAAAUUUUAGAAAUAAUUGUCACUGCUUACUACCUUAACAAAUAAAUAUAAACAAGAAACAAUGCUCCCAAAUUUUAACAAUCAAGAGGAAAGCUUCCUAUAUAAGAGAAAAAGACCAAGACCAAUACGCUUAGUGGGUUUCAAAAAGUAAUGAUCUUCUAAAGUUUAACUUUCUUUUAGCUGUUAUCAAUUAUUAAUGCAUGGACAAACCUCAUACAAUAGUCUAACAUGGAACCAUCAAGUUCUAGACUUUACUCACUAGAUCAACGAAUGCUCAUAACUAAGCUUAUAGUCAAGUAAGAAAUGCCAAAAAAUAUGACAAAGUUAAUUAACCUUCAUAUGAAUAAAAGAAAGAACUGUAUGCAGUGAAAAUUUAGCUCAUAAAAACAGAAAAUGUAAGAAAUGUGUACGUAUGUACCUUGAAGGAUCAAAGUGCUGUCGAUGAAGGUGAUGAUGGCAGGGGCAGCUUAUUUGCAUCAUAUUGAUUUCGGAACGCAACCCUUCUUCUUCGGACAAAACCGACCUGCUCAGGACUAUAAGCUUCUUCUGCCAAAAAACGAUGAGCUUCUUCUUAUGAAAAAAUUUUAUUUUAUUCAUGCAUAAUGCAAAAGAAAUGCUCAUAACUAAACCUAUAGUCAAGUAAGAAAAGACGAGCUUCUUCUCCUGCCAAAAAAGAUGAGUUUCUUCUCAUAACAAAAUUAUAUUUUAUUUAUGAUGAUUUAGUAUGACUUGUCAAUUAGUUAUGAAACUCGUCAACUUUGGCAAUCUCAUACACUAAAGUGGAAAAUGAGUAAUGUUACUUUGACAAAUCACACCCUUUCGAAGCAAAAGAAAAAGAAAAGACUACCUUCAGAAAAAAUAAUCAAUUUCUUGUAAAUGAGUUUACACAUUUUAAUUUGGCCUGAUCUUAUAGCAAUUCAAUCCAUUUAACAUGAUGAAGCACAGAGUGACAUCAGUAAUUUUGUUCCUUCAAUACAAAACUCAAAAAUUUUGUAACCUCUACCAUAUCUUUUCCAACACUAAUACCUCUUUAAAUUUCACAGUCAACAUGAUUAGCUGUGAAAUAUGACGUUGAUCUUGAUGUAGGAUUAUUGUAAGUAAUUGAAAUACGACGUUGAUCUUGACGUAGGCUUCUAGCGGACUCCCGCAGUCCCGCACUAACUUAAUGCAUGCGUAGCUUUUUAAUAUAAGGGUCCGGCUAUUUUUAAACCGCUUUAAGAUAGAACACCUCUUUAUAAUCGUAAGAUCAAAAUUAUAAUAAAUUUUUUAUUAUUUAUCACUUUAUAUAUAUGGUUGAGAUUCAUCCUCCACCAUAUAUAAACUAUAACAUGGCCAUAACCUUAAUAUAAAUUCACUCGAACAGGGUUAGAUCGUAUCAUUGCAUCCCAUGACUUGACCUCAACCAGAAGUACGAUUCAUCGAAAUUAACCAAAUUCAAAGCUUUAUUUUUAUCUUUUUAAUAUCAAGUAAAAAGUUAAUUUCAAUAAAUUCUGAUCGAAAUACUCACAAUAUUAAAAAAGAAUUAAAAAAAAAGCGUAUUAAUGAUUAAAUUAAGAAAGUAUAAAUUAUGAUUACGACUUUAUACAAAUCAGCCACCACAACCGUCGAUGGAAAUCACGACAAUCGACAAAGUGUAUUAAUGAAUCACCACCACGAUUUACUCUAUUAAAGCAGACAGAGUCUCUUUUCUAUAACCAUAGCCUUUGGGCUAUUACUUCAUCAUUUUAUUUUUACUCUCACUCCAUCCGUGUUCAAGAACUGUAGUUCCACUGUUUCAGCUGCCAAGCUGCAAAUUGUAAACAUUGAAACAUCCACAUUCAAGGAAAUCAUAUAUAACAAUUACGAAAAUCAAUAAUAAUGCGUUAAUGUAUCUGAAGAUUAUUUGUCUAAAUUGUAAACAUUAACGUGCCUGGAGAUCAUUUGCGUAAUUUUCAUCUACAUAUAAAUUAUGAAAAUCAAUAAUAAUGCGUUAAGAAAUUUAUGUCAAUAAGAAUGACGUAAUUAUAAUAGAGUGAUAUAAGAUAAAAAAAAAAAAUGUGUUUGUUUGUAAAUUGUAAUGAAAUUCAUUAGUCAAUCGAUUUAUAAAAAAUAAUUCAUGUAAUCUAACCUUUUAACAGUUAAUAGAAAAGUACUAUGAUUAACAGAUUUCUAUGUAUAGAGCAUUAAAUAAUGAGACUCAUAUGGGUUCAAUUGUGUUGAAUAGCUUUUUCUUCUUUCUAAAUUCUUAAUUGAAUAAUCAAGAACGGGAUGGCGACAAAAAGAAAGGAAAACAAAAAAGAAAUAAUCAGAUUCCCACGGGCUUCAGUUUUUUCACCAAUUGCACUGAUGAUGAUAUUUUCCAUUCAUUAACGAAGGAAGGUUCGUUCCCUUAUAUUAAAGUGAAGAGGGACGCUUUACGCGCAGAAUAUACUGCCGAAUUAUUUGGCCUUUCAAUAAUGGAGAUUGCUACUUUCCUUUAACCUUUUUGGAUUUCAUCAUAUAUCACUUAUAUUUUUUAAAAUAUCCAGUCAAGGUUCAUCCGAAAAACUCCUCCAACACGACAACAAAACAACCAUUUGUUUUAAAUUAAAUUUUGAAAAGAAAGGAAAAUCUAUAUUGUGUCCCACAUAAGAUUUGAAGAGAAUCACUAUUUUCUACGACUUAUUUUCAAGCCCAUAAGUAUAUCUUUUUUUUUUAAUUUAUUGAAACUUAUUUUCAAAACAAUAACACUUGAAGUGAAUAAAUCUAUUGACACUGAUUUUCAAACGCAUAUCUUUUUUUUUUUUUUUGCACUGAGCUGCAGAUCUUUUUGCAGUACUAAUUCAUGUCAGAUGUUAAUGUCACGUAAACAGUUAAUUUUAAUAAAUUCUGAUUGAAAAACUCACAAUAUUCAAAAAGAUUAAUGAAAAAGAGUGUAUUAAUGGUUAUGUUUAGAUAAUAUAAUCUUGAUUACUACUUUAAACAAAUCAGCCUCCACAAUCCUGGACGAAAAUCACUACUUUAAAAAGUGAAUCACCACGGCUUCUCUGUUGAAAGCAGAAAAAUCUCUUUUCUAUAACUUUAGCCUUUGGGCUAUUACUUCAUAUAUAACAAUCUCAAAGACACGAAACUUGCUUGAGGCAACUGCUUCCUUAAUUGAAAUUAAUUUUUCAAGGAGACCGUUGCAUACUCAAAUUUCUCAAGUUCAGGGACCCUUUUUAUUCUUAAAAAUUCUAAUGUUUGAUUAGGGGUGUUCGCGGAUCGGAUUUUACGGAUUGGACAUCAAUCCAUAUCCAAUCCACGAUUUUACGGAUUAUAAAUUUUCAAUCCAAUCCAAUUCACAGAUUGGUAAAAUUCAAUCCAAAUCCAAUCCAUACAUCUGCGGAUCGGAUGCGGAUUUAACCCAAUCCAUAUCCAAUCCACAAUUUUGCGGAUUGGUUUGCGGACUGAAAAUUUUUAAUUAUGUCCAAUCCACAAACUAACUAAAUAAAAAAAUUUAAUAUAAAAAUAAUUUUAUUACUGAUUAAAUUUAAAAUUAAAUAAGAUUUAAAUAAAUUAACUGUUUAAAUAAAACUAGAAAAUACAUUUAAAGUUUCAAAAUACAAUACACCAAAACGAAAAAAAAAAAUCUCAUUCGUUUAGAUCAGUACAUGGAAAUUAAUUAUUUAGGAAGCUAUAUUUGUUCAUUCAAUUUUUCAUUAUUUAUAGUAUCAUCGGAUAAGAUAUAAUAUAGUUAUAGUGUUACUGUAACUAUAUUUUAACUAAUUUAUUUACUAGUAAGGCUCUGUUUGGUACAGCUUUUCAAGUAGAGCUUUUAUAAAUAGAGUUUUUACUAAAAAAAAUUUAGUUGUUUAGUUGUCAAUAAGAGCUUUUAUUAAAAUUUUAUGAAAUUACUUUAAUAGAUAAAAUUUUUAAAGUUAUGUUAUGAAAAGAAUAAAAUAAAAUUACAAAUAAGUAGAGGAUUUUUAGAUAUUUUAAUAUUAAAAAAAAAGCUUUUCAACUUCUACUCCCAAAAGCCCAAAAUUUGAGCUUUUACUAGUAGAGUCAAAAUAACUUAUUUAAGUUUCAAAAGCUCUAUUAGAAAAACAACCAAACAAUAACAAAAAUUAUGAUAAGAGCUUAUGAGAUUAAAUAAGCACUUACAUCUAUUAAAUAAGCCAUACCAAACAGACAUUAAGUAAUAAUGUCAUAUUUACAAGUUUUUUUAAUUAAAUAAAUACUUUUUAUUUUUUGCGGAUUCGCGGAUUUUUACGGAUUUACAGAAGUAGAUCCAUCUCCAAUCCAAUGAUUGCGGAUCAUCAAAUUUUUAAUCCAAUCCAAUCCACCAAUUCACGGAUCAGAUUUUUACGGAUCGAAUUUCUACGGAUCAGACGGAUUGAGCGGAUUGGAUUUUGAACACCGUAUGUUUGAUCAAGACCUAAUGCAAUUAUUAAGUAGAUAAUGAUGAUGUUGAUGAUUGUGAUGAUGAAAGGAAUGAUCAAGAAUUAUGUUAAAAUUAAGCAAUAAAGGAAAAUUAAUUUUGAUAGUAAAUUUGGUAUUAAAUCAAUUUUGAUAGUCAAUUAUGGUAACGAAACCCUGGCUUUAUUUAGUGCGCAUCGAAUGUAAAGUGUGUGGAAACUUAAAAAUAUUCCAAAUAAGAAUCCACUAGCUUGACUUUCGAUUAACAAAUACUUGGCUAACCAACAAUGAAUCCACUCCAAUAAGCCUAAGGAUAACUUGAGCUACGUUGUGAAUAUCAUGAUUGUCUCGUCAUGCCGUCGAAGCUCCACCUGACUUUGACUUGCAAUCGUACAUAAUAAGUAACAAAGACAGAUCGUGACUCAAUAGAUAUGCUACCAUUAUUACAGUUUUUAUUUUUAUUUUUAUUUUGUUCGAUGUCACUAAUCACUAUUAUAAGAAAAGAUUUAUAUAUAUUCUAUUUAUAGGGGAAACAUAUGGUGCAACUGUGGUACCGUGCCACAGUUGCAUCCAGUCGUUGGAUGUCAGUGGACCCCAUCAAUCCAAGUGCAUCCAACAGUUGGAUACAAUUGUGACACGGUACCACAGUUACACCGUAGCCUGAUCCCCAUUUAUAAUAUAUAUAUUUUUUAACUUUUCAUACACAAGUUCACAAUUAUCUAAUUCAUUUAUAAUAUUAAUCUGAAAUGUGUGGCUGUAAAAAGUUUGCAAAAGACAAGAUGAAAUUGGGUGUGGUUUAUGUAAUUUUACACAGAUAAAAUUGUUAAUCUAGAGGAGUUUUAUUAGGAAAUGAGGCGGCUGCAAAAUAGCAUCACUCUUAAAAAUAUUCAAACAUAAAAUUUUUAAAAAAAUUAUUUGUCACUUAAAAAUAAAUUCAAAUAGUAAAAAAAAAUUGCCCUAAAAAAGUAUAAAUCAUUUUAAUAGCAUAAGGAUGAAUUUUGGCCCCCUCAUGAAUUGUUAUCUUCAAAUCAUCUCCCUUACUUUUGAAAGUCUUAAAAUUACUCCUAUAUUUAGUCAAAAGAUAAGGAAAAAUAAGGGUGGGUUUAUUUAUUUAUUUAUUUUUGGCUUCUUAACAAAUAUGGAGGGUGAAUUAAGGUUCUCAAAAAUAAGGGAGCCGAUUUAAAAAUAGUCAAUUCACGGGUGAGUAAUCCAAAAUUAACCCGUAGCCUAAUAAUGAUUGAUGAUGGGAUGAAAAACUAUAUAGAUACGAGGUGAUGCUGAUCCUGGUGGGAUUUAGCUCGGCCUAAUUGUUGGCCAUGCGGUUUUACAUUUUAAACACCGCGGGUUAGGCCUAGAGAUGUUUUCAAGCUUCAGAGAUUUAGAAUUUCUAAAAGUGGACCUUCUACCCUGUUAACAUUCAAAAAGAACUAAAAAAAAAUAGAAUUUUAAUAUCAUUUGAAAUAUAUUAAUUAAAUUCUAUCGUCUGAAAUAAAUUAAUUAAAUUUUUACCCCAUUUUUUUAGAUGAAGGUGUAGCUCAAGUGAUAAGAGUCAAGUCCCUUCUUCAAAUUUCAUUAGGGAGAACGAGGUGAAAUUAAACCAACGAUCCUCUUAGAUAAAAAUAAAAAAUAAAAAAAAGGUGAGAGAUAUAUUUGAUUUUUUGAGUUUCAAGUUUGAUUUUUUGUCUUAAUGAAAAGGAAAAGAGAGGACAAUAGCUUUCAAGUUUAUCCUUAUCUAACUUGAAACCACAUGAAAAUGAGGUAAUUUCAGGUUUGUAUAAGAAAUAUGAGGAUAUAUAAGCAAAAGUGCAAAACUACACCAAAAUUGGAGUUUAGUUUUUAAAAUUACUAUAAAAUUAUAUGAUUUUGUCAAAGUGAUUUAGAAAAAAAAGAUUACAAAACACUAAAACUAGAUUUUAACUUUUAAAAAUUACUUUUAAAACUCCUAACCGCAAUACCAAAUAUGCCAUUUAUGUGAAACAAAAGAACGAUGAAGGCUGAGGGUGGCAUUUGGUAAUGUCUUUCUAAUGACGUUCCUAUAUUUGUUUUAGGAAAAAUGACAGUAAGCCCUUAAUGUUUGGGAAAAGAAACAUAAAUCCCGUUAACGUUUUAAAAAAGGCAUAUAACCCCUAUUUUUGUUAGUAAAUUCUUUUUUUUAAAAGGAGUAAAUUCUAUUUAUUUUAAUAGUAAAUUUAUUUUUAAUUUGUAAUUACUAUUAUGUCCCUGUAAUAAAUAAUUCAAUAUAUCGACUUAAGAUAUGUGAUGUGUAUAAUGAAAUCAAUAAUUUUUUAAUAUCACUAUUUACACAUAUAAUUUAUUAUUUUUAAGGCACAAACUGUCACGUCCAAUUUGAUACGGAUCCUCUCUUAAUUUAAUUUUUCCUAACAGCAGUCUUAUCCUUAUUCUUUUGACACUAUUCGAAUGUAGAAUAAUAUAUACAUGUGCGCGCGCGCGCUUGAAAAGUAAGGACGUAAGAAACUAGAACACCAAAUCAUUGUGCUAGAUUGAAGAAAAUUAUACAAAUUAAAACCACAUUUUCCAGGCCCAUUUCAACGUCACAAAACCUUUGAAACAAAAAUGAAAAGAUUCCACAAAUGAAUAUAUAUCAACUUCGUGGUAAAACUCAAUACAAGCAGGGCCGGCUCCACCGUUAGGCCGAAUAGGCACCCCAAAAAUAAGAAGGCCCAAUUUUCAUAAUUAGUUAAUCUAAUUAUAUUUCUAAUAGAAUUAAGAAGGCCCAAUUUUCACAACUAAUUAUUUAAUACAAUUAUCUUUGGCUUCCCAAACGGUAACUAAUUAUUUAAUACAAAUAGUAAUUAAAUAUUUUAAUUAUCUUUCCAAUAAAACUUUUAAUAUUCCUUUUACAAUUAAACACCUUAAAAGCAACGCCCAAAUCCUUUGCCUUUUCAAAUCUCUCUUCCUCAGCAAGAAAGUCUAGAAUAUUCAUUCUCAAUUCCAUAAUUCAAGCUUCAUCUAAUCAUCUCAUCUCCUUCCAGUGAUCAAAUUCGAAAUUAUUGGAUUCUAAUUGUUUGCUUCCAUUGAUUGAAUUCGACAUCUCAUCUACUCCAAUUUAUCAAAUUCGGCAUUCUUUGUACUUGAGAAAGAAAACCCAUUACCUAUUUGUCAGCAUCUUUUUUUCUAUGUGCACUCAUUCUAAUUAUUUCGUUUUCACUUUUCAGUAUUUGUGUUUUUUAUUAUUUGUUUAUGCUUUUGUUUGUUUGUUUGUUUUCAUAUAUAAUAUUAGUACUUUAUAGGAGAAGAUUUGUUGUUUGUUAACUUAUUUGUUUGUUUGAUUCUGUUUGUUAUUUAAAAUUGAAUAAAAUGUCUUUCUUAUGUUUGUUAAAUGAAAUGUCUUUCUUAUGUUUCAUUAAAAUAAAAUAAUGAGAUUAUUUAAUGAUUUUAAGAAUUGUUGUUUUUAAAUAGAGAAAUGCCCCAUACAAAAAUUUCGCCUAAGGCCACUAAUGUGCUAGAGCCGACCCUGAAUACAAGCAUCCAUCAACUUGGUGCCACAUUGAUACGCCACAUUGAUACAACAACAAUGAUAACAGUAGUGCAAAUCAAUAGCAGCGCAAAUCUAUGCAAUGUAUAAAUGAUUUCAGCAAUUGAAUGUGUGAAAAAUGUGGAGACUAAUGAGAUUGCAAAAAGAGAUCCAAAGAUAAUAACAAUGAGACCCCAAAAUUGCAAACAAUUUGCUUGAUUGCGAUGAGACUUGUUGUUAACUGCAAAUGCAAUGAAAUAGAAGAUUUUGGCUUGUAGAAAAACACACAAGCUUACUCUAAGAGCUCAAUCAAUGGUUUAGUUGUGCUUUACGCUAUCGCACGCACAACAACAACAAAAUGAGAUACCCAAAAACUUUUAGGUACUAAAUUGAGAAAAUGAAAUUGCCAUUAGUACAAAGCCAUCAAAAUUUAAAUAUGAAUUGGCUACAUUCUUAUAUUAUUUUCACUUGUUGCACAUGUCUCCACGGACCAAUGGUGGAACCAUGAUUUUAGUUUGAUAGGCACCAUAAUGAAGAAACUAUAAACUUGACUAUGGUAUAACGACAAAUCUGCAAAGUUGAAGUGACUAAGAGGGGGGCUAUAAAUGAUAAAGCAUAAAAAAUAGUAGGUUGUAACAAAAUUAUGUCAAAAUAAGAGGGCCAGCAUAAAAUUAAACUGAUGCAUUAAACUUCCAGUAUGCUUUUAUAUUUUUUUGGAUUAUUUCGAGGUGGCAUUGCAAGUACUGUUGAUGCGAGAUUCUGGUUGCCUUCUCUACCAAGACCAGGAUCUCUGCUCGAUCAACUCUACCACGACCAGGAUCUCUCCUUGUUAAGCUUCUCCUCCAAAAGUUCCUGCAUUCACAAAAGCAGGUCAGAGUACGCCGGUUGUUUUUCCGGCGUAAACCCUCCGACACUCAAGUCAGAUAUGAAUGUUUUUUUCGCUCUUGGGAAUACUAGCCACUAAUCUUAUGGCUUUUCAAUUCUCUCGAGCUCUCUCUUUUUUCCUCAGUUCUAAUCUCAAAAAUUCUAACCCUUUUACCUUCGUUGGCUACCUUUUUAUAGGUCUCUUCUGGAUUCAGACCUUCCCUCCAUUCAUGCUUGUUAUCCUCCCACCUCUUGAAAGUGGAUGUUCCAUUUCUGCGAUCGUGGGUGGUUGCAUGGCCUUCAUGCCUUGAUUCUCAAACUGGAGAGCACGUCUCGCCAACUGUCGUUGACCGGGUCUCCUCGACUCAACCCUUAACAGAAGUGUAGCAGGAAUGACUUUACGCUUCCAGCAGGAGAUUGGCCUCGUGGAUUGUGCACUUGUGGACGAGCAGGAUAUUUCUGCUCCUGCUCUCCCGGAUACCAUACUCUUACAAGAUAUACCUGUUCGAGGAACCCUGCUAUCAGAUGUCUGCUCAUCACUGCUGGUCUUCGUCGAAGCAUAUCCCACAAACAAGUACCUUCACUCCUGCUGUGGACGUAGCUUGGCAUGUAAGCAUAAAGAAGAAAUAUAUGCUCCCCCUUUGGCCAAAUUUCUGCAAUUAAUUUGUAAAUGACAGAGUCCACCCCCUAUCACUUAAUGCAAUAAGUGACCGUUUGUCUCAUCAAUGGAUCCACGCUUACAAUAAUUAAAUCAUUCUCAAAAUAAAUGUGAUUUUUAUCAUCUUAAUUAAAUGACAUCUCCAAUAAUUUUAUUUUUCUGUAUAUUAAAAAAUGGACUCAAAAUUUUAUGGAUGGGUCCUAAACUGAAUCGAUAUAAAUUUAUUUAAAAAAAAAAAAUUAGAUUCUACAUUGUGACCUACUACUAGAAUUUUAGUGGACUAGGUAAUAGGCACAAUUGCCUAGAGUGCUAGCAUUUUGAUUUCUGAGCCGUAAUAUCUGUCCCCUUUUAUUUAUCUCAACAGCUGUCACUUUUUAAUUUAUUUCAUCUAUUUCAAAAAGGUUACCCUCAUUAAAAAUUAAAAAAUAUAUAUUUCUCAACUUUUUCUUUUCUCUCUCAUCUGCACAAUUUCUCUCUCUCUUCUAGCAAUCACCAUUGUAUAUCUCAGCAACCAUCACUUCUUAAAUAAUUCAAUGUAUUUCUAAAAUAAUCCUGGUUAAAAAAUUAAAUUUUUUUCCCUCUCGUUUGCACUGUUAUUAUUUUUUCUUUUGUUUUUGAGUAUCCUACUUUGCUUCUUUAAUGAACGAAACAUUUUGUAAGUCAAAUUCAAGAACAAAGGAAACCAAAAAUAAAUAAAUAAAUAAAUAAAUAAAAAAUUUAGUAAAUUUUUUUUCUUAAUUUUAUUUUUUAGCUUUUAUGAGAAUGAUGAGUUUCAAGAGGUAGGAAAUAAUAGAGACCAGUGAUAUGAUAUUUUUUUUCCUAAUUCAUUCAUCACACAUCAAAAUCCAUACAAUUAAUAACAACAAAAUUCAUGACUUAUUUAUAAAAUUAGAUAAAACCCAACAACAAAAACUCAUUAUAAUCUACAAGCAAGUGGUGAUGGAUAGAUGAUGAUGAAAAUAAGCAGUGGGGAUGAUAGAGGGGAAAAUUAAAGAUAUAAGUAUUAAUUAUCCUUAUUAAAAAGUAAGGAUAAUUUUGAUAAUUACACAUAUUUUAAUUGAGGAGGGGGAUGCCGAGAUAUGUAGAGGGGGUUAAUUAUCACAACUCUUGACUUCUUUUUUUUUAAUUUAUUUUUAGACUAUAAAAUAGAUUGUAUGCAAGAUGCUGGUUUGUUUGUUUGCUUUUAUUUUUUUAUUUUUCUCGCUUUAAGUUUGUUCGACUUUUAAAUCACGUUCUUCUUGCAUAAUGGGAUUCUGAAUCCCAAAUUCAAGCGACAGCUUUGUGGGUCUCAAGUUAACUCGAUUUAUGUCUUAAAUGUAACUGGUGUGAAUAUCGAAUACAGUGCAUCAAUUGCAACAUAUACCCAUAUUGCAACAUGCAUUAACAACUAAUUUUUUUGUUGUAAAUAUAAUUUUUGUUUUGUUUUUCUUUUUUUGUAUGUCUAGUAAGACUGUGAAUAUUAUUAAUUGAAUUUAUGCAAAUUUGAUGAAAUUAUGCAAAUGCAAUGCUUUAAUUUGAGUGAAUUAUGAUAAAUUUUGGGAUUAUUAUAAAUUGAAUAAUUUCUUAAUGAGGAAGUUCUCAUUUUAUUAAUAUAAGAACAAAACUAUAAAAAAAUGAAAACACAUAUUUUAAUAUAAUAUUUUUUUCCUUUUAGCAAAUUAAAAUUCAUUUUCUGUCUCUUAAUUUGUUAAUCAUUUUAAAAAAAUAAGUUCUUCCUCACACAUGAUUAGAGGAAGACUUAUUAUAAAUUAUCUAUUAUGUAUCUAUGUCAUAUAAAUACCGCAACUUUCAUUUCAUUUCAUUCACACAUCAAAAUUUAUACGCUUUUGUAAUAUUUCAAUUUCGAAAUUGCGCAUUGUGGCAUGACAUCCUAUAAUCAAUCUACACAUCUUUAUUAAUAUUAUAAUUAACAUAAUUUUUUUUUAAUUUGAUGGGUUUUACCAAGUUAACAAAUUAAUUCUUUUUCUUCUUUUUCAAAAAAAAAUUCCUUUGUGGAAUGCAACGUCAGAAAAAAAAAAUUGCUAAAAGAGCUGUGUAAACAAAAUACCUAAGUUGACAAAAGACUUUUGUAUCAUAAAAGAUAUUAAAUGAAAUUGAAUACUGUUACAAAAACAUAAAUUGUUCAAUACCUUGACAAACCCACAAGGAAAAUACCCAUGUUAUAAAAAAAUAAAUACAAAUUCGAAAAGAAAAUCUAAAAGUCAACUUCAUUGCCUUGUAAAAGAGGAUAUGAAAAACCAGAGUAAGCUGUCACUUAGCCAGUGCACACUGCCAUAACAAAUAAUUCUGAUAUCUCAACAACAAUUAAGGAGGGUAAUUCAAUUACAACAUUGUUAACAAAAAUUAAAUAAAAAUAAGUUUAAACAAUAAACCAUCAAGAGACUGAAAAAUUAACAUAGAAGCAGGAAUACGACAAAAUGGGAACAAAUUGAGAGUAACAAGGGCCAGAGGCCAUCACCAUCGAAAGUCAGAGGUAUUUCAGAUGAGCCUCGUUGCCGAUCAUCAUGAUCACGAUGUUGGAGUCUGCAUGGUCCUCAGAUCCUUCAGCCACCGGCUCACGUUUUCAAUUGACUCUGAAGUUGCAAGAAAAAAAUAUUCUUUGUUCCCACCCCACAAGCCUGUAACUUAGUUUAGACUGUUUAAUUUGGACAGAUCUUACAGCAAUUCAAUCCAUUUCACAUGUGUUUUCAAAUAUUAUGCACUAGACCUACGAUUUUGUUCCUUGAAUUCAAAACCCACAAAGUCAUGUGCAUUUGUAGGAUUAUUAGAAGUGAUUAAGAUAUUAUGUUUUUUUUUCAAUGUCUCUUGUACCUUGGAAAACCACAGGAUAGUAACAUAACGGCUAAAACUCUUAAAUGUUUCAACACAUGAGUUGCACCCAUAACAAUUCAGUAAAUAAUUUUUUCAACCUGAUUUAACAUAUGGAGAACAGUCCUACUCACAUAUCCAAGUAAACAUCGAAUGCCGAUCUAAUUAUCUAAUUCAAUGAAAAAACCCCAUGGCUCAUAAGUUUCUCUUAAUGAAUUAAUUGCAAUUCCAAUUCAACUCUAACAUGCCAAAAGUCAACAUCAGGUUAGUUUCAGCUUGCAUUACCAACUCCAACAUACAGAGAACAGCCCUACUCACAUGUACAAGUAAACACCAAAUGCCGAUCUAAUUAUCCAAUUCAAUGUCAAAAUUCGCCGAUUUUCACUUGAUGAAUAAAUUGCAUCUAAAAUAUAUAAUUGAAAUCCCAAACUUUCACCCCAAUAUGUAGCUGUCCACAAUGGCACUGCCACUUCACUUACCACAUAAAAUUAAGCAUUUAAAUCGUGGCCCAAAAUAUUCAGAUUAAAAUUAUAAAGCAUUCUUUUUCAAAAAACUAACAAGCGUUAAACUUUAAGCUCCAAAAAAAAAAGUCAUUUCAUGUGAAUUACAAUCUCACAAUGAUAGAUACAAUUAAAUCUCAUAUAAACUAAAUCAAUAACCGAAUUAUAAGUUAAAAUCACAAAUCAAUCAUCAUACUAAUAGUAAUUACGCAUCAACAACGAAAUCAGAUGAAGGAUUGAGCAAGACUGAGAGUAAGAGAGGGAGAGGGAAACUUUAAAUUUUUUAUGAUGAUUUUUGAAUUUUAAGGACAAUAUGAAUUUCGUCCGAUAAAACUACUUGCUUUAAUUAAUUAUUUAUUUGCCUCCUAAAAGUCUCAAAAUCUAAAUGGCAAUAAAUCUAUAUAUAUGCUGCGACUAUUUUAAAAUCUGUGCAAGUCAUCCACAAAGGCCUUUUGUACUGUUUAUAGAAAUCAGGCUCUUACCUCAGUCAAUUAAUCACUUCCCAAUGAGCUGCUCUCAUCAAAUACUUUGGUUUCACUGGUUCCUGAGCAUUGAUGAAAGUUGAAGAUAAAGAAAAUUAGUUACAUUUUGAGGAGAAGAAAAAAUAAAAAAAGUAAACUUAUCAAGAAAACUUGAAUUGCAGAAUCAGAAGACUGAAUUCGCUAUGUAGUAGGGCUACUUACACUACAUUAAGCUACUGAAUCUCUAAGUUUGUUACUGAUCAUAUGUUUUCUGAUUUAGAGUGGAGAAAGGAUGGCUAGUCUGAAAACAUUGAAAUUUAUAUUUUUGGAUAAAAUGAAAUACAAAAUUUUAAGUUCUUGUGUUAAAAACAAACCACAGCAACCAACAGCUGUUGUGGUAAUCAAUACAGGACAGACUCCUGGUUUCUCAUUAAUUAAAUCUACAGCCUUCAAAAUUAGUUAACUAUUACGUGAACAGACAGUAAAGAGCAUUAUAUGUAAUUUUGUAUCUAGAAAUAUUCUUUUCAACCAGAAAAAAAAAAAAGAGAGAACUUCAAAUUCAGAAGCUGGUAUUAUAAAGAGCGACAGAUUGUUCACUUUUGUAGACACCUUUUCUUUAAUUCAACAUAGACUUUGCUUCCCUAGUUUGUUUUUUUCUUUUCCACCUUUUUAAAAGAAGUUUCCAUCCGAGUAGCUACUACAAAAAAAAUCAUCCUGUCAGACAGGUUUCUAUAACAAAUAACUUCUAAUCAAAGCAUAUUUUAUAGAAUACCUGAGAUGAGUCAGCAACUGAUGCCAAGGCAAUUAAUACACCUUCUUGCACUAUUUGUUUUCCAUUCUGCCACCAAAAAUGAAAAAUUUAGAGGAAGACAUUGUUCGUUCAUUAAAGUAUGGUGUGAUAUAAAUGUACGUAUUAUAAGUCAGGUGUUGAUUGUUCUUUCAAUAUACCUGAAGUAGCACUAGCAAUUUGCUCAUAAUACUAAGUACAAUAUAGGCACAUCUGAAAGCCACACAACAUAUAAUCUAAGAUUCCAUUGAUAGACCAGUAAUUCAGCAUACCAAAUAUGAGAGGAAAUCAAAUAACUAGGAAAGGGAGUUUUGUAAAAUUCUAAGAGCUACUAGGCCACAGAAUAGCUACACCAAUUUGCAGAGUCCAAUUAAUUCAUUUCUCACUUUUAACCCCUUGAAAGGUAAAACAUAGAAUAUUCCAUGAAAAAACCUUCAGAAAAUUCUGGAAGCCAUAGAGUAACAUUUAUGAAAUGAUCGUGCUAAAAAAAGAUUCACAUAAGUAUGUAAGAAGCCUAGAAUCCACAUAUAAAAAAAAUAAGGUAAUGAAGAUCACCAUUUACCCCAUAUACAAUGAUGAGGACAUCCAAAGAAGAUAAUAGUCUCCACAUGCCACAAGAAAAAAUUGAACAAAUUGGUUACUAAACAAAAAAAAAAAAAGGGAGAUCAAAAGGCGUCCCAACAUGACGCCUAUCCUUUCUAAUAAACUCACCUGAUUGCAAAGGCAUUGUAAUAAAAUAGAUGUGUAAUUAGUUCCAUAAGAAAAAAACUAAAUAUCCAACAUAAUCCAUACCAAAGCACAUCUCUCCUUGAGUAAUUGCUAUUGAGGCACCUCUAACCACAAAAUAUGUACUAGGAGAAAACAAAUGAGAUCCAUUGAAAAAGUACUAGGAAGGAAAUGCAUUUUUGAAAGGGGGGAAAAAAAGUGUAAUUCACAAAUGUGGUUCAUUGGACAUAUCAUGGAAGGAAAGAAAUAUUAGUUUACACUUAAAUUUAUUUAUUCUCUAAAUUCCAUGCACACAAGACAGCUGUGCCCAACACUGGGGCAUAUGAAUGGAGUUGUGCAACUUUAAUAGUUGUAUACGAAUGAGCAAGCUGGUCCAAGAUCCACUACAAUGAAUGCGGGCACUAAUUUCUUUCCUAGCUCUGACUCUAAUACCCUAGUUUAGCUUAAAGAAUGGCUUAAAAAAGAUGAUAAUACAGAUAAGUUAGUAAACAGAACCCAUCUAGUUUCAGCAAAACAUAAGCUGGCCUAAUUAUAACUCAAUUCUUGUACUGCUUAGUAAACAAAAGCCAUCUGGUUGCAGCUUAAUAGUUCCAAUACAUGCUUAAUGUGGAUUAAUACACUCUCUUCGACAGUAUCCAAAUGCCAAAAAAUUAAUAAUCAAAUAAUCAAAGCCCAAACCUAAAUUUUUUAAAUUAAGAGACAUAAAUUAGAUCCCUCACCAUAAAUUAGAGGAAAAACUCAUCAACUUUGGUGAGAUUAAACGGGUACAAACAUGAAAUUCUCGAAUAAAAGCGAGAUUGAAACCAAACCUCUUCCUUUGUAUCGAAACCGAUCGAGAUAAAAAAAUUUCAAAUGAAAGUGAAAGCUUCUUCGAUCGAAUGAGAGUGAGAGCUGACAUUCAUGAAAUUAGGGAGCAAAUCCAUCAAAUUUGGUAAAAUUAACUGAAAAUAAACUUGAAGAUGCAUCAUGAAAGGCGAGAUUUAAACCAAACCUCUUCGUCUUCAUUGAAACUGAGAUCAUGGAAUUUCAAAUGAUUGUAACGAUGCUUCUUCGAAUGACAGUAAGAGAGAGAGAGCUGAUAUGUUUUGGUUUUUUUAACCCCCAAAGUGUGGGGCCGAGAGCUACAGAAAUUUGGCUGUUCUUUUUUUUUUUUUCUUCUUUUCCCCGCGAAUUUCAAGUACUGGGGAAUUUUAAAAUAAUUUUUAUUAUUUGCUAAUUUCUUCACUUUUAGAUACAUAAUUAGUUAAGUUCGUUCAUACAGUCAAAAGUUUUUGACAUUAAUAAAACGUCAUGACACAUGUUCCAAUUUUAUUGGUGUUAUUAAAUAUUUUUUUUAAUGAGGUACGCAAUGGAUAUAUUUACUAUCACAAUUUCAGCAUUUAAGUCAAUGUAUUUAACUAUCCUGAAAAAUUAUCAAUAAUAAAUGUCAAAAAUUUUCUUUCAAAGAUUGUCAAUUUUCCUAUUACUGAAAUCUACUUACUCCCUAUUAUUUUUAUGAUAACUAAUAACUCCCAACAAUAUAAUUUUAUAAUAUUACUCUUAUUUUUAAAUACAUAUUUAUUCAUAUCUAUUAUAAAUUAAAUAAAUCAUACAAAUAGAAAUUAAAAUAAAAAAUUUAAGUAUUAAAAAUAAAUAUAUUUUUUUAUCUGCUGUACGGCCAAGUAAAUAACAAAAAUAUAAAAAAAAUAUUUUAUUAUUAAUUUUUUAUUCAAAUCAAAACAUAUAUUUCUUAUUUUUAAUACUUUUUUUUUUUUAUUUUAAUUGCCAUUCAUGGGUAUCCUUGGAGCCAUCGUUCAGGCCACAACGAGCCCUUACCCUAAACGCAUACAAUAAGUAUGUGGAGUUUUCUUGUGACCCAAGUAAUCUACUACUUUCCCUUUGCAGUUGACAUCAAGUCUCUAAUUUGUCAAGAAAAUACAAACAAUGCAUAUAUUUAUAUUUUAUUUUAUAUUUUAUAAUAACAAUAAAACAAUGCAUAUAAGAAUAUGAUAUCGAACGCACUAUUAAAAACUAUAUAUUAUUGAAUGAAAAACUAUAUAUUAUUGAGUAUAUAUUUUGAUCCAUUGAAAUCUGCAAACUUAAGUGUAAUCUCUGAGUAAAAAGUCUUGGACGAAAUUUUAAAACAAAGAUUAAGCUUCUCCAACUACACUGACGACCGUUGUUCUUGUUCCAUCGAAGAGAAGUUGUUAUGAUGAGCUUGAAACCAAUUCAAGAAUUCAAGAUGUUGCAGAAAAAUGGCCCGACCGUUGUUCUUGUUCCAUCGAAGAGAAGUUGUUAUGAUGAGCUUGAAACCAAUUCAAGAUGUUGCAGAAAAAUGGCCUCAAAAUUUCUUGGUAAAGCCAAUGACAAGUAUUCAUAAGCUUUCUGCCAUAUUGGUACACAACUAUGAUAACAGCAGUGCAACUUAAUGCAAUGUAGCAAAUGAUUUCAGCUAUUAACUGUGUGAAAAAUAUGGAGACCAACGACACUAUUGAAAGAGAUCCAAAGAUAACAGCGAUAAGGCCACAUAGUUGUGAAGAAUUUGCUUGAUAGCGUCGAGGCAUGUUGUCGGCAGCAAAUGCAAUGUAGUGGAUGAUUAUAGCUACUAAAGAAACACACAAGCUUACUCUAUGAGUUUCCGUCAACGGCUUACUUGUGCCUUGCACAUUCGCGCCCAUAACAGUGACCAAGGUCGGGAUGAGAUAUCCAAAAAUUUUUGUGGAUGAGAUUGAGGAAAUGAAAUUGUCAUCACUGCAAAACCAUCAAAUUUAAUUUUUAACAAUGAAGAGGAAAGCUUCAUAUAUAAGAGAAAAAGACCCAGACCAAUAGACAUGUUUACGAGCUUUACAAUAUAAUGAGUCAAUAUUGAAAACUUUGUAACUCUCUAAUUUGAUCAAGUUCAGCUCUGGUCAAUAAAAGUCAAAACAUUCUGGUGUAAAUAACUUGCGUUUAGUGAUUAUGUAGACUCUUUGAUAUAUUUAGUAACUGCAGAAUUUUUGUCUAGAUGACAUACGAUUCCUUUUUUAUUUAAGAUACACUCAUUUUAAGAAGAGUCGGGAUAAUUAAUUCUCCUACUUAUGUUGUGUUCUAUUGUGUGACCUUUUUGCAAUUGAUCAUUUUGCCAUUUUUAACCUUGUUUCUUUGACUUAAUCUUGAUGUUCUUGUGUUAUCUCUUGAUUAAGCAAUGUUAAUUGAUCAUCUAUCAAUCAUUCUUAGUAGUUGUAUUAUUAUUAAGUAAUAAUAUUCGUCAUGCUCUGCCAUAGCAGAGCAUUUCUCAGUUAUGGCAGAGCAUGAUAAAGGGAAUUAAGAAAAAAAUGAAUAAUUCUACAAAAUCCAAAAGAAGAGAAACUUAUAAGCUUUCUGGGUUUAUAACAGUAACGAUCUUCUAGAAUUUAACUUUCUCUAGCUAAAAAAAAAGUUUUUGCCUGCAUCAAGAUAAAUUAAUAAUGCAUGAACAAACCUCAUACACUAGUCUAACAUGGCACCAUCAAGCUCUAGCCCUUACUCUUUAGAUCACAAAAUGCUCAUAGCAAAGCUUAUAGUCAGAUAAGAAAUGCCAAAAAAGAUGACAAAAGUAAUUAAGCUUUGUAUGAAUAAAAGAAAGAACUGUAUGAUUGAAAAUUUAGCUCAUAAUAACUAAAAUUGUAAGAAAAGUGUACGUAUAUACCUUGAAGGAUCAAAGUUCUGUCGACGAAGGUGAUGGUGGCAGGGGCAGGUUGUUGGCAUCAUAUUGAUCUCGGAAUGCAACUCUUCUUCUUCUGCACAAGUUCAACUCACUCAGGAGCACAAGUUCAACUCACUCUGGAGCAGAAGUUCAACUCGUUGUUCUUAUAUGCAUCACGAUCACGGAAAGGGAAAAGUUUGGGGGGGCAAUUUUGGAAUACACAUGGGGCCCAUAAUUUCAUUGAAAAUGAAAAAGGUUGGGGGCAAUUUUGGAAUUUGAAUGGCUUCUGGCGGAUUUUUAUGGGGCCCAUAAUUUCAUUGAAAAUGAAGGAGGCCCGGGGGGCAAUUUUGGAAUUUGAUUCGGUUCUGGCGGAUUUUUAUGGGGCCCAUAAUUUCAUUGAAAAUAAAGGAGGCCCGGGGGGCAAUUUUGGAAUUUGGAUGGCUUCUGGCGGAUUUUUAUGGGGCCCAUAAUUUCAUUGAAAAUGAAGAAGGUCGGGGGGCAAUUUUGGAAUUUGAAUGGCUUCUGGCGGAUUUUUAUGGGGCUUCAUUGAAAAUGGAGGAGGCCCGGGGGGCAAUUUUGGAAUUUGAUUCCAGCGUAUUCUUAUGGGGCCCAUCAUUUCAUUGAAAUGAAAAAGGUUGGGGGGCAAUUUUGGAAUUUUGGUGGCUUCCUGCGGAAUUUUUGGGGCCCAUAAUUUGUCGAUGAAAUACCAUUUACACUAUCAGCGAUAUUAACUCGGUUACCCAGUGGAAAAGAGUUAGCACACUUUUGACGAAUCACGCCGAAGAAAGGGGAAAAAGAAAAAUAAAAAAAAUGCUACCUCACACAAAUAAUCAAUUUUUUUACUAUAUAAAAUUCUAAUUAAUUUUUUUCUUUCAAACAAUCAAUUAUGUAUGAUUAAUCAUAUUUCCUACUAUCAAAAGACAGCAAGUCGGUAAUAAAUUGCACAUAUAAGGUAUUCAAAUUUAAAAUAAUUUCCAUUGCUGAUUGAGUAGAAAAAAACAAAUUAUAUUUUAUUUAUAUCAUUCACACAUAUUCAAGCAACCACUAUUUAGCAACUCUAAAUGGGACUUACAAUAUUAUGUUAAAUGUUAUAAAAUACUUGCUUAGACAAAUUACCCUCACAGACGAGAAAUGUCUCGUCUCUACUCCACUCGUAUUUCGCAAGGGAGAAAAACUUAUAAAUAACCUCACACAAACGAGAAAUGUCUCAACUCUACUCGUAUUUCGCAAAGGAGAGAAAGACUUACAAAUAACCUCACACAAUCAUGCAUAUUACUUAAUUGAUGGAGUUUGGGUUCAUGGAAAUUCAAACCCUUACCCUCACAAUCAUACUUAACUAUAAAAGUAGAGACUCGUAGCUGGGCCAAAGGCUCAUUGACAUGUUAGGAGUUAAAGUUAACCAACUAAAAUGGAUUCCAUCCAUGGAGGCAUGAUAAAAAGAAUAAUAAUAAUAAAAUCGAAAGACAAUGAUGGACCGUUGGUUUUGUAAUUCUUUAUGGGAGCUUAGUAGCAAUGAAAGUGCAAGGAAAUUUACUUGAUUUAUGUAUUAAACUUAACAGGUGUGAAUACUGAAUAUGGUGCAUCAAGUAGAACCGUAUAUCCAUUUUAUUUUCCGUUAUUAAUAAUUAUUUUUUCUUUUUUGUAAAUAUAAUUUUUGUUUUCUUUUUUGUUUGUCUAGUAAGACGGUAAAUAACAUUAAUUGAAUUUAUGCAAAUAUGAUUGAAAUUAUGCAAAUGCGAUGCAUUAAUUUGUGCAAAUUGUGAUCAAUUGUGGGUUUACUACAAAUUGAAUAAUUUUCUAAUGAAGAAGUUGUCAUUUUAUUAAUAUAAGCACAAAUGUAGAAAAAAAAAAAAUGAAAACACAAAUUUUAAUAUAGUAUUUUUUUGUCUUUUAAUAAAUUAAAAUUCAUUUUCGGUCUUUUUAACUUGAUCGUGAUUUAAUAAGGUAUUCCUCACACCUGAGUAGAAGGAGACUUAUUAUAAAUUAUAUCUUAUAUAUCUAUUAUCAUAUAAGUACCGUUAAUUUCAUUUCAUUCACACAUCAAAAUUUAUGUGCUUUUGUAAUAUUGCAAUUUCUAAAAUGCACACUGUAGCAUGACAUCCAAUAAUCAAUCUACAUGUCUUUACUAAUAUUACAAUUAACUUAAUCUCUUUUAAUUUGAUGGGUUUUUAGCAAGUUGACAAAUUAAUUCUUUUUCUUUUUUAUCAAAAAAAAAAAUCAUUUGCGGAAACAAAUGAAAUAAUGCAACCUCAGAAAAAACUUGCCAUAAGAACUGUGUAAAACUCUGUGUGUGCGUGUGUGUAUAUAAAAGAAAAUAAAAAAAUUGAGGGGGACUUUUGUAUAAUAAAAGAUACUAGUUAUUGUUACAAAAACAUAAAUUGUUUAAGAUCUCUGCAAACACACAAGGAAAAUACCUAUUUUAUAAAAAAAUAAAUAUAAAUUAGAAAAGAGAAUAUAAAAGCCAACUUCAUUGCCUUGUAAUAGAGGAUAUGAAAAACCAGAGUAAGCUGUAACAUGGCUAGUGCGCACUGCCAUAAUAAAAUAAUUCUGAUAUCUCAACAACAAUUGAGGAGAAUAAUUCAAAUACAACAUGGUUAACAAAAAUGAAAUAAAAAUAAGUUUAAACAAUAAUCCACUGAGAGACUGAAAAAUUGACAUAGAAUUUAGGAGGUGUUUCAGAUCACUCUUGUUGCCGAUCAGCAUGAUCACGAUGUUGGAGCCUGCAUGGUCCCGAAGAUCCUUCAGCCAUCGGCUCACGUUUUCAAAUGUUGUUGAUUUUGUCACAUCAUAAACCAAAAGAGCUCCCAGUGCGCCCCUAUAAUAGGCACUGGUUAUUGCUCUGUAUCACUCCUGGCCUGCAGUAUCCCAGACCUGGGCUUUUAUUGCCUUCAACCAGAAAAUCACAGAUUUCUCCUUAGUCCUACAACAAAACGCUGCUUUAAGCAAAAAAAUGGAAAAUUUACGAAAAUAACCAUUAAUAUUUUAUUAUUUUCGCAAUUAACCGUCUCAACUUUUUUCUAUCAAUAUUAGCCAAACACAAGCCUUUCUUCCCAGACUACCCUUCUUUACAGAACAAAACCAACAUUGUUUCUCCCAUAUCGCCAAACCAAAAGCAGCUUUUCACUCUUGAAUCAUCAGCCAACGGUGACCGCAAAAGACAACGGUAAAAGUGAUAUCCGAUCAUAAUCUAUCCGGAUCCAACACAAAUCGACAUCACUUAGUGGUAUGAAUUAUUUUCUGAACUUACUGAGUCGGGUGAAUCUGAAUCUGGCGACAGGCUGCCUGUCGCAGCAAAACUUGGUGCGACAGGCAACCUGUCGUACCAAGCUUCGGGCGACAGGUUGCCUGUCGCACUCACCCCGGUGAUUCAUUAAAACUGUAUUAUUUUAAUAGGACUGAAAUAAUUUUUUUUUAUAAUUUCAAGCUUAAUGGAUUCAGUUGUUCUUGAAUUGUGUUACGAUGGUUGGUGGGAGACAUUAGAGAAUGGCCGUAUGGAGUACGUGAAUGGUAAAAAUCAAGCUUUUUUUGUUGGAAAAAAUUAUCUGUUUGAUCAGUUAUUGGCAAGAGUAUAUGAGGUGUUACAAAUAAACCCUAAUGACUAUAGUAUCACAAUGAAGACAACUUUGAGGUCUAGUAACACAUUAUAUCGUAUGUGCAAUGCCCAUGGAUAUAUGUAAUGAUGAAAUGGUGAGGGUUGUGUUGCAUAUGGCAUCUGACGUAGCUAAUUUUGGAUGCAUUCCUAUAUUCGUGACCACAUCACCUCGAGUUCCGAGCGAAGGUAUUGAGCCACAUGUCGAUACAGAAACUUCGUUUAGAGCAAAUAUGUCUGGCCCCGAUAAUGAUGAAGAGGUGUUGCCAAGGACAAUAUCGCUGCAGCAAUAUUACUCUCCAAUCCACGACAAUUAUGACAACAUUGAUGAUAAUGGCGUUACGUUACAGGAUGUUCUGCUGUACGGCCAAGGGGGAUGUACGGUACAGCAGCCAAAGUUUAAAAAAAAAAUACGUUAGAGCAACGGUAUUCUCCGUAUCACAACAAUGAUUUUCGGGACAAUGAUGAUUUUCAUAAUGAGACAGAGGGGGAUAAUGUUUGUGCAGAACCUUCUAAUAAUACGAGGCGGGGCACUCGUUUCAAUAAUGACGGUGAUGAUGGAGAAGCCGGUCCUUCGAAUGUUCGGUCAUUUCAGCAUGAGGAUGAGUGUGAAGACAAUACUCCUAUGAAUAACAGAGGCAAUAGACUUAUUCCUUCUAUGGUCCGAACCAUUGUCAUAUCACCAGCGAACCAUCGAUCAAACUCAGCAAACAGACUAGAAUCCUCCAAUCCUCUCAGUGGAUUUAUAUAUACACUCGUAUUCAUGUCAAUCGCAUGGUCCAUGAUUUGGGGUCGAGGUAUAGGCCGAGCGUUCUUUCCUCGCCUGAGUGGAGGAAUCAUGUAAGGACUGUUAUAAACAUACGACGGUAUGUACGCGCGGCCGAACUUACUAACGCCCGGAGGCACCUCAGAGAACACCUACACGCUCUCCCCACUAACAUUCCCGUAAAAAUUAUACAAUGACGUGGGCGUAGACAAAUUUUGAUUGCUCACGUCAGUAUACACUCCAUAGUCAUCCGGGGCAUGUCCAUUCGCCAAGAUGAACAUAUUAAACAACUAUUAAAUUAAAAGUUAAACGAACAUAAUUAUUAAAUUUAAUUAUGCUCACCGCAUACGAGCGUCCGGUGAGAGAAUCCUUAUUUAGAUGUGUAGAAAAGGUGUCGAUAAAGCCAAUUACGGUUUUUUAAAAUCUUUUAAUUCCGACUUCAAUUUAUACACGUUACGAUCAAUCUUAUCCAGCCGUCGUCGCACGCAAUCAUUAAACUGCUUUGUCCUCGACUAUUACAAAAGAAAAUAAUGCACGGUCUACUACGACACGUUUCGAGGCUCACUAUUGUUUAGAAUCAUGUAAAUGGCGUAUACGAGCAACUAGAAAUUCGAACGACCAAAAUGUUCCUUGGGUGAUGAAGAGAAUUGAUAAUGUACACACUUGUCAUAAUGAGGUAUUGGUUGAUGGACGUCAUCAAGUAAGGAGCCGGGUUGUCGGUCAUAUUAUCGCAGAAAAAUAUAUUCAAGAUAAGAGGAUUUAUACUCCCAAUGACAUAAGAGCAGAUAUGCAACAGGAAUACGGUGUUCAGUUAACAUACCAACAGGCAUAUAGGGCGAGAGAAGUUGGUCUUGAAAUAGUUCGCGGCAACCCUGCAGAGUCAUACAACUUGCUCCAUAAAUACUAUCACGUACUAACUACAGCGAAUGAGGGUACAGUCACUCACCUCGAGCAGGAUGGAGAUGGUAAUUUCUUGUACUAUUUUGUAGCACUCGGAUCUUCCAUCAAGGGGUUUAUGCAGUACAUUCGGCCUGUCAUUGCUGUAGAUGGUACUCAUCUGAAGGGACUAUAUCGUGGAAGCAUGUUCGUGGCAACAUGUCUUGAUGGUAACAAUCAAUUGUAUCCGUUAGCCAUUGGGAUCAUGGAUUCAGAAAACAACGAUGCUUGGGAAUGGUUUAUGAUGAAGUUACACAGAGUGAUUGGCGAUAGACCUGAAUUGGUAAUUAUCUCUGAUCGAUGCACUGCCAUAAGGAGAGCCGUUCUUAAAGUAUUUCACAAUGCAACUCAUGGCGUUUGUUUUUACCACGUCAAAGGUAACAUUAAGUCACAAUUUAGAAUGUCCAAAGCUCUUUGGGAUGAAUUUGAGCCUGCCUUUAUUAAUGCAGCAAAAAUAUAUGGCCACGAGGAAUUUAAGAGACAACUUAAAGGGUUGUGGAUGAUCCACUCGGGUGCGGCUGAUUACCUAGAAAAUAAUGUCGGUACGUGUAAUUGGGCAAGGUCGCAGUUUGAAGGUAGGAGGUACAGCAUUCUUACCACCAACAUCGCGGAGAGUGUUAAUGCUUUCAUAAGGGAACCUCGAAAAUUUCCUGUUACUCAUCUUGUUGAUCACUUUAGGAAAACAUUGCAGCAAUGGUUUUAUGAUAGAAAAAUUGUGGCUGAAUCAAUGACUACUCGGCUAACAACAUGGGCGGAUGAAAUAGUCACUGAGAGGAGAACUAUAGCUGAAAGAAUGAUAGUUCGGCCGGUGUCUCCGCAUCGCUUUCAAGUUAUAGGCGGUGGGCUUAAGGAAGGGUUGGUUGACUUGCAAAAGAGAACUUGCUCCUGCAGAGUGUUUCAGCUUGAUCAGCUUGUGUGUGCUCAUGCAAUUGCGGCGUGUCUAACACACCGGGUGGAUUUUAUUAACCUUUGCUCGGACUUUUACACUACAGAAUCGUUGGCGAUGGCUUAUGCACAACCAGUGGAGCCAGUUGGUGAUGUGGCUGAUUGGGAAGUGUCAGAUGAAAUUCAGGAGAUGGAAGUAUAUCCACCAGUUGAGGCACCACCACCUGGCCGUCGUAAAGAGCUCAGAAUACCCUCGGCUGGCGAGGAGGUUGACCGGCGGACUGUUAGAUGCGGCCGGUGUUAUAAACUAGGCCAUAAUCGUAAGUGAUGUAAGAAUCUUAUUGCGUCGACUCGAAGUUAGUUGUAUUUUGUGUGUUAUUCGUUGGUUAAAACUAUUAUUGUUUUUGUGUUUCGUUGGUUAAAACUGUUAUUAUUUUUUGUAUUUCGUUGGUUAAAACUGUUAUUAUAUUUCGUUGAUUAAAAAUGUUAUUGUUUUUUGUGUAUUAUACACUUAUAUUUCAUAAAAUUUUAUUUUAUUUUAAAGUUCAAAAUGUGAAGCAUUAAAAUUAUAUAAACUUAAGUGCGCAAAUUAAAAAAAAAAUUCAAAUUUCAACAUUAAAAUUACUACAUAGGUCUACAAAAUAAUAUCGUCAUUAAAUAUAUCAACCGCAAUCUUCUUUCUAAAGUACUUGCGCUCUUAACUGCGAUAACUUUCCACGGGUCUUCACUUCGCAACUCAGGUCGGAUAUUGUAGAAGCCAACAUAUUCCAACCAUCGAGGGAAUAUAACUUCAAGUGGCUUGAAUUUCAACUUGUACCUUUUGUCGUCGCGAAAUGUGAGUAAUGAGUCAUAAAUCCAGACUUUAUUUUUCCGAAAGUCAACUCGUGCUAGUGUCCAAUGCGCGCCGUCUAAGUUAACAGGGAUGAGUAACUGCAUAUAAAAAUUGAAAAACAUGUUUGUUAUAUAUGCAAUUAAAUACAACCAAGAAAAAGCCAACAACUCGAAUAUUUUCAUUAUAGAGCAUGUGAAAUGUAAUAAAAUACAUACCACAUCGACAUCCAUCAUUGAUUUGGACAUUGUGUGCUGUCGCCCACAAAGAUAACUAUUCAAGCGGUCGUCGAAUACUAAUGAAUCGACCGCACAAUCCCCGUUGUUCCAUAACUGAUUCAAGAAAACCUAGUACAUAGAUAACCAAGAAAUGCAUAAAUGAACAAAACUUAAAGGCAAUAAUUAAAAAUCAAAUUAAAUAGUCUUUAUAAGUUUUGUCGGCACGUUACCCAAAAAAAUGUGUCAGUAUGUGUGACACGUUGGAGUAAGGCAUUUGGAUAUUGCCGUUGUUUCUCGCUAAUCAAGCGGAGAUACUCGUGAAUAUGCUGUAGAGAAAUAGAUAUAUUACGAUUUAAAAGAAAAAUUUUGGUGAAACAAAUCCACAACAGUAUACAUAACUUCGAAAAUACCGAAUACCUCAUCGCCUAGCCAUCCCAUCGAAGCUGUACCCAAAAUUAUUUGAAAGAAUGACCGCGGGUGCUGGACUCUCCGGCGGACUCUGCUAUCACCAGUGAACCAUCGAUCAAACUCAGCAAACAGACUAGAGUCCUCCAAUCCUCUCAGUGGAUUUAUAUCCACACUCGUACUCAUGUCAAUCGCAUGCUCCAUGAUUUGGGGUCGAGGUAAAGGCCGGACGUUCUGUCCUCGCCUGACCGGAGGAAUCAUGUAAGGACUGUUAUAAACAUACGACGGUAUGUACGCACGGCCGAACUUACUAACGCCCAGAGGCACCUCAGUGAACACCUGCACGCUCUCCCCACUAACAUCCCCGUAGGAACUAUACAAUGACGUGGGCGUAGAAAAAUUUUCAUUGCCCACGUCAGUAUACACUCCAUAGUCAUCCGAGGCCUGUCCAUUCGCCAAGACGAACAUAUUAAACAACUAUCAAAUUAAAAGUUAAACAAACAUAAUUAUUAAAUUUAAAUUUGCUCACCGCAUACGAGCGUGCAGUGGGAGAAUCCUUAUUUGGACGUUUAGAAAAUAUGUCGAUGAAGCCAACAACGGUUUCUUUAAAAUCUUUUAAUUAUGACUUUAUUUCAUACACGUUACGAUCAAUCUUAUCCAGCCGUCGUUGUAUGUAAUCAUUAAACUGCUUUGUCCUCGACUAUUACAAAAGAAAAAAUUAAAACUUUAGAAUAACAAAAAAAAAUUAAUAAUUUACAAAGAAAAAAUUAAAGUAUAUUAUUUAUAACCUCAGAAUCCCGUGCGUCAUCAGAGUUGUCUGUUUGCUGCUGGUGGUCAUCAACAACCACCUCAUCCUCAGAAGUGUCAUGACGCUGCUCUGGUAUUGGGUUUGGUAUGUCGUCAUGAUCGUCAUGCUCGUCUGAUUGCCUUGUAACCGACGGCAUCGCGUUGAUUGAGGGUUGGUGCUGUAUAAAGUAUCAUUUAAAAUUAGUAAAUGAAAAGCUAAAAAUUUUGAUUACAAAAUUUUUAGUACUUAGAGUAUACCGACCUUAUGAACCCAGUCUAGAAUGCUUGGCAAGUAAUCCUUCACAGAGAGCCAAUAUUUUCUGCUACUCUCCUUUGAAUUUGGCUCAAGACUUUGUAAAACGUCCCCCUGCCAUAAAUUUAAUUGAAAAUUUUCAGUAAGUAUACAUAACUUAAAUUUAGUCAAGUUAAAAAAAUAAGUAAUACAUAUUACUUACAAGACGAGAUUCGUCGUUGAAGAAUGAAUAAACCUCCGCAAAGUUGAUUCUCGAAGACGCCAUGGGCUUCCAUUGCAGAAUGAGGGGAAUCUUAUUCUUCGUUUUGACGACCCAUGUUGAUGGCAACCCUCCGAUUGCUUCGUAAAUCCAAGCCUACAACAACCAAAGUGAAAAAUCAAAUAAAACAACUAUCAAAUAUUUAAUACUAUAAAACUUAUUAAUAAACAAAAAAAAACGCAUCUGAACCCCAGACGUAAAGCCGUAUAGAUUGUAUUUUUCAAUGUUAUGAUCUGGAUUUUUCAACCGAGUCUUCUUAAAUUUCUCGUCUUUCUCGAACAGUGCAUUGUCAAGACUCUCGUAAAUAAUUUCCCACGACAAUAGACCCCAUGGACGCUUUCGGAAGUACUGUAUAUCAUCAACUUGGUCAAGCCAAUCGAAAUUAAUUUGACAGUGAUUUUUUCUUGCAUUUAGUACUCUGUCCGCAAAAUAAAACAGCGCAAUCUUUAGUGCGUCCAUAUCGUCAAUUUCCUCGAAUUUCAACUCCUUAAAUACUACAUCGAAUUGCUUCACAUUAAUCUUACGAUGCACACCACCAAAAUACGUAUUCCGUAGCCUCUGCUCUAUUUCAUCAUUUUUUUUAUUGGUAUCAACACCAAAUGAAAGUCCAGUAACCAAGCACCAUUCGACAAUUGACAAGCGAAUCAAAUGCUUACCAAUUUGAAACCAUAACUGAUCCUCACGGCUAUCUUCUUCAUGGGCCACUUGCCGCAGUAGAAGAUUGUGUAAAAUUACCCCACUGAAUGGAAAACUUCGACACUCCAAGAAAUGGCCAAAUAUAUCCUUUUUGAACAUACGCAACUGCAGGUUUGUUAAUUUUUCCUCAAUGGCUUUAACGACCGAAGAUAACAUACACAUGCUCAAAACUCGACCAGGAAAGUGAUCAUCAUAACGAAAAUACAUCUUGCCUACUUCAAUAUCCGGUGAAAAUUCGAUCAGGAAAGUGAUCGGCAUAACGAAAAUACAUCUUGCCUACUUCGAUAUCCGCUGAUUCUGAUUUCGCCAUGUAUCUAUAAUAUUUAUAAAAUUAUUACAUUACAUUUACAAAAAAAAAAAAAUUAACUCGUUACAAAAAAAAAAUCUAAUUUUUGGUGCGAGAGGCUUGCUGUCGCACCAGAUCUGGUGCGAUAGCGUGCCGCGCAUGGGCGCGCGCUGCUGCCCAGCGAUGGGCGCGCACGCGCACCCUGCCCCCCUCCCUCCCCACCCCCAAAAUUAAGCGCAAUCACUCCAAAAUCGAAAACAAUACUCCCAAACACCACCAACCACCACAAACAUCAUCACCACCACUAUUAAUCUCAAGCUAUAACUAUUAUUAUUCUAAAAUCUCAUUUUAAAUUAAUGAAAAUAAGAAAAAUGACUAACCUAGGUUUUGUUGAAGGUUGUAGAUCGUAGAUCGGAUGCCGGUGAGAGAUGGAGCCGCCGCCGAAGAAGGUUGAUGUCGCCGCCGAUGAUGGGAGUUGGAUCGGUUUGGGAGAGAUGAGUGAAAGGGAGUGUUGGGGGAGAGAUGAGGGAGGGGUAUUUUGGUCUCAAAGGUUGUUUUAUGGCUAAUGUUGAUAUAAAUAUUUUUGGGGGGUUAAGAUGAAAAAAAGCAAAACUUUUUUGGUUAUUAUUGUAAAUUUCCCCAAAAAAAUUCCAUUUUUAAUUGACUCUGGAGUUGCUAGAAAAAAAAUUUCUUUGUUCCCACAAGCCGGUAAAAGAGUUAAGACAAUUUAAUUUGGACAGACCUUACAGCAAUUUAAUUCAUUUUACAAGAUGAAGCAGGGUUUGCAAAAUAUUAUGCACUAGACUUAUUAUUUUGUUCCUUGAAUUCAAAACUCACAAAACCCUAAGACCUCUUUAAAUUUCACACGCUAGUGUGAGUUGACAAUAACUUUACACCAUGUGCACUUGUAGGAUUAUUAUAACUAAUUAAGAUACUAUGUUUUUUUUUACUGUCUCUUGUACCUUAAACAACCACGGGAAAAUCUUAAAUGUUUCAAAACAUGAGUUGCACCCAUAAAAACUCCGUAAAUAAUUUUUUCAACCUUGUUUUAACACUUAUAUUUGUUUUUCAGGAAAAGUAUAAGAUAUGGUAACUCGAUAAACUCAAAUAUCAUGGGUGAAAUGUAACUCUGGGGCUUUGUCUUCACUAGGAACCAGUCAAGACAUAGAGGUCAACCAAAACCCAAACACGUGGAAUGAAUACUCAGCUCUAGCUCAAAGUUGACAUCCUUUUCUUUUACGUACACCACUCAGUCUCAUCACCCUAUGUCCAAACAGGCUAAAGCUGCAAUUACUGUCAACCCCAAGUAUCAGCUUUGAUUCACGAUUUCAAGACAUGAAAUCCCAACUCUAACUUGCGAAAACUCAACAUCAGGCUUGAACAGAAUGGUUUUGACUUGCAUAACUAACUUCAAUAUAUGGAGAACAGUCCUACUCACAUAUCCAAGAAAACAUCGAAUGCCGGUGUAGUUAUCUUAUUCAAUGAAAAAGUCAACAUCAGGUUAGUUUCAACUUGCACACCAACUUCAAAAUACAGAGAGCAGCCCUACUCACAUAUACAAGUAAAAACCAAAUGCCGAUCUAAUUAUCCAAUUCAAUGACGAAAUCUGGCGGUGCAUGAUUUUCACUUGAUGAAUAAAUUACAUCUAGAAUAUAUAAUUUACUCCAAACUUUCAACCCAAUAUGUAGCUAUCACAAUUUGGCGCUGCCACUUCACUUAACACAUAAAAUUAAGCAUUUAAAUCGUGGCCCAAAAUAUUCAGAUUUAAAUUAUAAAUCAUUCUUUUUCAAAAAACUUAAAUAGCAUUCAAGUAUAAAUUCCAAAAAAAAGGGUCAUCUCAUGUGAAUUACAAUCUCAUAAUGAUAGAUCCAAUUAAAUCUCGUACAAACUAAAUCAAUAACCGAAUUAUAAGUUAAAAUCACAAAUCGAUCAACAUACUAAUAGUAAUUACGCAUCAAGAAUGAAAACAGAAAAAAAAAAUUGAAUCACUUCCAGUUUAAAUGAAUCUACAAAAAUCUGUCAUAACUAGAUGGUGCAUGUGUAUAAACAACAACUUCGAUGGAUUAAUUUAAACCAGUCAUCUAAAUAUUUGAAAUAAUUCAAAAUCAUUGCUUUAAAACUUGAAUUACUAGCGAGCAAGGCUGGGAGGAUUGAGCAAGACUGAGAGAGUAAGAGAGGGAGAGAGAAAUUGUAAAUUUUUUAUGACGAUUUAGUCAGAUAAAACAACUUUCUUGCGGCUAAUUAAUUAAUUAUUUGCUUCUUAAAAUUCUAAAAAUCUAAAUGGCGAUAAAUCUAUAUAUAUGUUGUGACUAUAAGGAGAAGCUGGUAUUAUAAGGAGUGACAGAUUGUUCACUUUUGGACAUACCUUUUCUUUUUAUUCAACGUAUACUUUGCUUCCCCUUUUUUCAAAAAAAAAAAAAAAAAAAGAGAAGUUUGCAUCUGAGGAACUACUACAAAAAAAUCAUCCUGUCAGAAGGUUUUUCUAACAAAUAACUUCGAAUCAAAGCAUAUUUUUUAGAAUACCAAUGCAAUUAAUACAUCUUCUUGCACCAUUUGUUUUCCAUUCUGGGACCAAAUAUGCAGAAUUUAGAGGAAGAAAAUGUUCGUUCAAUUAAAGGAUAGUGUGAUAUAAAUGUAUGUAUUAUAAACUGGGUGUUGAUUGUUCUGGCAACAUACCUGAGGUAGUCCUAAUUUGCUUGCAAUAAUGAACGCAGGUACUAAUUUCUUUCCUAGCUCUGUUUCUAAUACCCUAAUAUAGCUUAAAGAAUGGAUUAAUAAAGAUGAUAACACAGAAAAGCUAGUAAACAGAGUUAAAAUAUUAUGUUCUAUCCAAGAAAACAUUGAAUGCCGAUCUAAUUAUCUAAUUCAAUGAAAAAACCUGGUGGGUCGUAAGUUUCUCUUAAUGAAUUAAUUGCAAUUUGGAUUCAACUCUAACAAGCAAAAAGUCAACAUCAGGUUAGUUUCAACUUGCAUCACCAAGACACCAACUUCAACAUACAGAGAACAGCCCUACUCACAUUUACAAGUAAACACCAAAUGCCGAUCUAAGUAUCCAAUUCAAUGACGGAAUCCGCUGGUGCAUGAUUUUCACUUGAUGAAUAAAUUACAUCUAGAAUAUAUAAUUUACUCCAAACUUUCAACCCAAUAUGUAGCUAUCACAAUUUGGCGCUGCCACUUCACUUAACACAUAAAAUUAAGCAUUUAAAUCGUGGCCCAAAAUAUUCAGAUUUAAAUUAUAAAUCAUUCUUUUUCAAAAAACUUAAAUAGCAUUCAAGUAUAAAUUCCAAAAAAAAGGGUCAUCUCAUGUGAAUUACAAUCUCAUAAUGAUAGAUCCAAUUAAAUCUCGUACAAACUAAAUCAAUAACCGAAUUAUAAGUUAAAAUCACAAAUCGAUCAACAUACUAAUAGUAAUUACGCAUCAAGAAUGAAAACAGAAAAAAAAAAUUGAAUCACUUCCAGUUUAAAUGAAUCUACAAAAAUCUGUCAUAACUAGAUGGUGCAUGUGUAUAAACAACAACUUCGAUGGAUUAAUUUAAACCAGUCAUCUAAAUAUUUGAAAUAAUUCAAAAUCAUUGCUUUAAAACUUGAAUUACUAGCGAGCAAGGCUGGGAGGAUUGAGCAAGACUGAGAGAGUAAGAGAGGGAGAGAGAAAUUGUAAAUUUUUUAUGACGAUUUAGUCAGAUAAAACAACUUUCUUGCGGCUAAUUAAUUAAUUAUUUGCUUCUUAAAAUUCUAAAAAUCUAAAUGGCGAUAAAUCUAUAUAUAUGUUGUGACUAUAAGGAGAAGCUGGUAUUAUAAGGAGUGACAGAUUGUUCACUUUUGGACAUACCUUUUCUUUUUAUUCAACGUAUACUUUGCUUCCCCUUUUUUCAAAAAAAAAAAAAAAAAAGAGAAGUUUGCAUCUGAGGAACUACUACAAAAAAAUCAUCCUGUCAGAAGGUUUUUCUAACAAAUAACUUCGAAUCAAAGCAUAUUUUUUAGAAUACCAAUGCAAUUAAUACAUCUUCUUGCACCAUUUGUUUUCCAUUCUGGGACCAAAUAUGCAGAAUUUAGAGGAAGAAAAUGUUCGUUCAAUUAAAGGAUAGUGUGAUAUAAAUGUAUGUAUUAUAAACUGGGUGUUGAUUGUUCUGGCAACAUACCUGAGGUAGUCCUAAUUUGCUUGCAAUAAUGAACGCAGGUACUAAUUUCUUUCCUAGCUCUGUUUCUAAUACCCUAAUAUAGCUUAAAGAAUGGAUUAAUAAAGAUGAUAACACAGAAAAGCUAGUAAACAGAGUUAAAAUAUUAUGUUCUGUUUGGUUAACAACAAAGUAAAGGAAAAUGUUUAACGGGAGAGAAAUCUAGAAACUGAAGAAUGAUUCGUAUUAAACUUUUAUUUGAUUAGCAAAGUUUAAGACAGUAACUCUUAAUGAUUUAUUGUCUUUAUUUCAUCUUUGCUAUGAUUCCUCUCAAAUAGAUGGGGACAGAGAAAUUUAAUUUCUGCUUAUUGUUUUAAAGAAAAUGAAUCUGUUAGAUUUUAUCAAUAACAAAUUAUUAUUAUUAACAAUAUUAUUUCGAGUUUAAUUUACUUAUUUGAUUUUCUUCUUGAUGAAGAACUUGAUUUUUCAACAUCUCUAUUUGGACAUAUACUCUCUUUGAUUUCUUCAUGAUUAAGAAUUUACUUUUUUAACAUCGCUAUUUACACAUAAUUUAUUACUUUUAAGGGACAAACUGUCAUGUCCAAUUAUUUAUGAAUUCUCUCCUAAUUUAAUUUUUUCAAACAGCACUCUUAUCCUUAUUCUUUUGACACUAUUCCAACAUAGAAUAAUAUUUUUUCUUACAUAGUGGCCUUAAAAUUAAAAUUAAAAUUUACAAGACUGAUCCAAAACGCCAUUUCUAUGAAAAAUAAAUGUGGUUGAAAAGUAAGGGCAUAAGAAACUACAUCGCCAAAUCAUUAUGCUAGAUUGAAGAAAAUUAUUCAUAAUUAAAACCACAUUUUGCAGGCCCGUUUCAACGUCACAGAACCUUUGAAAUAAAAAUGAAAAGAUUCCGCAAAUGAAUCCAAAUCACUGCUAUUAAUUUAGAUUGGAACAUUUAUAUCUAUCUAACUAUAUAUAUAUAUAUAUAUAUAUAUAUAUAUAUUGUAUGUAUAUCAUGUCUUAAACUGUCGGUCAUUGCUGCAGCUUUGUCGAAGAGAUAUUAUUAUUAGGUUGAAUCCAAUUUGAGAUUUUGCUAAAAAGAAAAUGGCCUCCAAUUUUUCAUGGUAAACCCAACGACAAGCAUCUAUCAACAUGGUGCCACACUUACACACAACAAUGAUAAGAGCAGCGCAAAUCAAUAGCAGUGCAAAUCUAUGCAAUGUAUAAAUGAUUUCAGCAAUUGAAUGUGUGAAAAAUGUGGAGACCAAUGCGAUUGCAGAAAGAGAUCCAGAGAAAACAGCAAUAACGUCCCAAAAUUGCGAAGAAAUUGCUUGAUUACGUUGAGACUUGUUUGUCAGCUGCUAAUGCAAUGUAGUAGAAGAUUUUGGCUAGUAGAAAAAUACACAACCUUACUCUAUGAGCUCAAUCAACGGCUUCGUUGUGCCUUACACUAUCAUACCCACAAUAGCAGCAACAUGAGAUAUCCAGAGAUUUUUUAGUACAAAACUGAGAAAAUGAAAUUGUCAUUAGUACAAAGCCAUCAAAUUUUACAUAUGAAAAGGCUAGCAUUCUUAUAUUAUUUUCACUUGUUGUACAUGUACCCCGGACCAAUGGUGGAACCAUGAUUUUAGUUUGAUGGGGACCAUAAUGAAGAAACCACAAACUUGACUAGAUAUAACAAGAAAUCUGUAAAGUUGAAGUGUCCGAAAGAGGGGGCUAUAAUUGAUAAACCAUAAAAUGUUAUAUAUUGUUACACAAUUAUAUUAAAGUAAGAGGGCCGACAUAAAAUUUAAAUGAUACAUUAAACUUCCCAUAUACUUUUUUACUUUUUUGGAUUAUUUCGAGGCGGCAAGGCAAGUACCGCCACUCCUGCUCUAGACGUAGCUUCGCAUGCAAGUACUGUAUAAGCAAGAAACGUUUGCUCCCCCAUUGACCAAAUUUCUGCAAUUAAUUUGUAAAUGACAGAUUAACGUUUGCCACCCACUAUCGCUUUAUGCAAUGACAGAAUCGUUUGCCCGAUCAACGGAUCCGCGCUGACACGAAUUAUAAAUCAGUCAUUCUCAAAAUCAAUUUCUUUAUUUCGUAUAACCUGUUUUGAUCUCUUUCCAAAUUAACCUUAUCCAGCAUGUUUUCUGUAAUUAUUAGAAUCCACUAAAAUUUUAUUAGUAAUUCUAAUGAAAAUUUAAUUUCCCCUACCUAUGUAAGCUACAUUCAAAUCCUAAACUUCUUAUUUUCAAUAUAAUUCUAUUUUUUUAAUACUAAAAAUGGCCUCAAAAUUUUAUUUGUGAGUCCUAUAUUGAGCCAACUUAAUUUUUUUUUUUAAAAAAAUUAAAUUUCACAUUAUGACCUACGGUUUUAUCAUAUGACAUAAGAAAUUCUUGAAUACAUCAGAACUAUCAUGUCAGUCAUAUAACAAAUAAAUCAUACUAUGACAUGUGUGCAUUUAUUUUAAAAAAUUAUCAUGUAAGCGGUGGUUACAUUAAAUCAAAAUACACAUAUCAUACAUACAUUAGUUGGUUGAAUUACAUUUGAUGUAUUCUAAAAUUUCUUCAUACGAAGAAAUCUUAGUGGGAUAGGCAAUGAACCUAUUUGCCUAUAGUAGUAGCAUUUGACUUCUUUCAAGUACAAGUAUGCAAUAGAUCUAAGUUAGGUCAUGUUUGAGAUUGAGUUUGGAAAAUAUUAGAGUAUUUAGUAAACACUAGUUGUUAUAACUUAUAAGUAAAGUUAAUUUAAUUUUACACUUGUAUGAUAAAAAAUUUAUUAUAUCUUUACUAAUUUUGUAAAAAUUAUUAUUUAAAAAUUAUAUUUAUUACAUAUUAUUAAUAUUUAUUUCAUAAUUAUUACUUUUUUCUACAGGAGCAGUACCUCAAUAACAACCUAGGAGUCAAAGAUAAUUGACGACUCGAUCCAUUGGUGAGAAAGACAAUGAUGGACCCUUUUUUUGUAAUUCUUGAUGGGAGAUUAGUAGCAAUGAAAAUGUAAGGAAAAUGAAAUUUAGUCAAGAUGAAUUUUCAGUUUAUUAUAAAUUGAAUAAUUUUUUAAUGAGGAAGUUCUCAUUUUAUUAAUAUAAGAACAAAAUUUAAAAAAAAAUAUAUGAAAAUGCAUAUUUUAAUAUAAUUUUUUUUGUCUUUUAGCAAAUUAGGAUUCAUUUUCUUUCUUUUAAUUUGCUCAUUGUUUUAAAAGAAUAAAGUCUUCCUCACACCUGAUUAGAGGAAGACUUAUCAUAAAUUAUCUCUAAUAUAUCUCUAAGUACCGCCAAUAUCAUUUCAUUCACACAUCAAAAUUUAUGUUCUUUUGUAAUAUUUCAAUUUCUAAAUUGCGCACUAUAGCAUGGCAUCCAAUAAGCAAUCUACAUAUCUUUAUUAAUAUUACAAUUAACAUAAUUUCUUUUAAUUUGAUGGGUUUUUAGGAAGUUAACAAAUUAAUUCUUUUUUUUUUUAAAAAAAUCAUUUGUCGAAACAAAUGAAAUAAUAUAACCUUAGAAAAAACUUGCUAAAAGAACUGUGUAAAACUCGGUGUGUAUAUACAUAUAAAAUGUAAAAAAUUGAGGGAGACAUUUGUAUAGUAAAAGAUACUAGCUAUUGUUACAAAAACAUAAAACUGUUCAAGAUCUCUGCAAACACACAAGGAAAAUACCUAUUUUAUAAAAAAAAAAAAAUACAAAUUAGAAAAGAAAAUGUAAAAGCCAACUUCAUUGCCUUGUAAUAGAGGAUAUGAAAAAAACAGAGUAAGCUGGAACAUGGCUAGUGCACACUGCCAAAACAAAAUAAUUCUGAUAUCUCAACAACAAUUGAGGAGAAUAAUUCAAAUACAACAUGGUUAACAAAAAUUAAAUAAAAAUAAGUUUAAACAAUAAACCACUGAGAGACUGAAAAAUUGACAUAGAAGUUGGGAGGUGUUUCAGAUCAGUCUUGUUGCCUAUCAUCAUGAUCACAAUGUUGGAGUCUGCAUGGUCUCUCAGAUCCUUCAGCCACCGGCUCACGUUUUCAAAUGUUGUUGAUUUUGUCACAUCAUAAACUAAAAGAGCUCCGAGUGCACCCGUAUUAUAAUAGGCACUGUUUAUAACUCUGUAUCACUCCUGACCUGCAGUAUGCAUAUCUGGGCUUUUAUUGUCCUUCAACAUGAAAAUCACAGAUUUCCCUUUAAUCAUACAACAAAAUGCUCUUUUAGGACAAAAUUUCCAAUUUUAAUUGACUCUGGAGUUUCUAGAAAAAAAAUUUCUUUGUUCCCCCACGCCUGUAAAUGAGUUUAGACAGUUUAAUUUGGACGGAUCUUACAGCAAUUCAAUCCAUGAUACAUGAUGAAGCAAAGUUUUCAAAUAUUAUGCACUAGAUUAUUAUUUGGUUUCUUGAAUUCAAAACUCACAAAACCCUAAGACCUCUUUAAAUUUCACACACUAGUAUGAGUUGACAAUAACUUUACACCAUGUGCACUUCUAGGAUUAUUAUAAGUGAUUAAGAUACUAUGUUUUUUUUACUGUCUCUUCUACCAUAAACAAACUACAGGAUAGUAACACAAUGGCUAAAAAUCUUAAAUGUUUCAAAACAUGAGUUGCACGCAUAACAACUCAGUAAAUAAUUUUUUCACCCUGAUUUAACACAUAUACUUGUUUUUCAGGAAAAGUAUAAGAUAUGGUAACUUGAUGUAAGUCGGGGGCUUUAUCUCAUGUGGGAAACAGUCAAGACAUAGAGGUUAACUACAACCCAAAAUGUGGAAUGGAUACUCAGCUCUAGCUCAAAGUUGACAUCCUUUUCUUUCACAUCCGCCACUCAGUCCCAUCACCCUAUGUCCAAACAGGCUAAAGCUGCAAUUACUUUCAACCCCAAUUCUCAGCUUUGAUUCAAGAUUUCAAGAAAGGAAAUCCCAACUCUAACUUGCCAAAACUCAACAUCAGGCUUGAACAGAUUCGUUUCGACUUGCAUAACUAACUUCAACAUAUGGAGAACAGUCUUACUCACAUUUCCAAGAAAACAUUGAAUGCCGAUCUAAUUAUCUAAUUAAAUGAAAAAAUUCGGUGGGUCGUAAGUUUCUCUUAAUGAAUUAAUUGCAAUUCUGAUUCCACUCUAACAUGCAAAAUGUCAACAACAUGUUAGUUUGGACUUGCAUAACGAAGACAACAACUUCAACAUACAGAGAACAGCCCUACUCACAUAUACAAAGUAAACACCAAAUCUGCCGGUGCAUGAUUUUCACUUGAUGAAUAAAUUACAACUUAAAUUUAUAAUUUAAUCCAAACUCUCACCCCAAUACUUAGCUACCACAAUUAGGUGCUGCCACUUCACUUAACACAUAAAAUUAACGGUUUAAAUCGUGGCCCAAAAUAUUCAGACUUGAAUUAUAAAUCAUUCUUUUUCAAAAAACUUAAAUAGCAUUCAAAUCUAAAUUCCCCCCCCCCCCCCCNNNNNNNNNNNNNNNNNNNNNNNNNNNNNNNNNNNNNNNNNNNNNNNNNNNNNNNNNNNNNNNNNNNNNNNNNNNNNNNNNNNNNNNNNNAAUCAUCAUACUAAUAGUAAUUAAACAUCAAUAAUGAAAACAGAUAAAAAAUUGAAUCACUUCCGCUUCAUAUGAAUCUACAAAAAUCUAUAAUAACUAGAUGGUGCAUGUGCAUAAACAACAACUUUGAUGGAUUAAUUUAAAACAGUCAUCCAAAUUUGCUGGGAGGCAAAGGAUUGAGCAAGACUGAGAGUAAGAGCGGGAGAAAGAAAUUUUAAAUUUUUUAUGACGAUUUUUGAAUUUCAAGAAUAAUAUGAAUUUAGUCAGAUAAAGCAAUUUUCUUGCGGCUAAUUAAUAUUUAUUUGAUUCUUAAAAGUCUGAAAAUCUAAAUGGCGAUAAAUCUAUAUAUUUGUUGUGACUAUUUUAAAAUCCCGGCCAAGUCAUCCGCAAUAACCAACAGCUGUUGUGGUAAUCAAUACAGGGACGGACUCCUUCUUUUUGCCUAUUAAUUAAAUCUUCAGCAUUAGUUAAAUAUUAGGUGAAUAGACAGGCAAGAGCAUUAUAUGUAUCUAGAAAUAUUAUUUUCACCAAAAAUUAAAAAAAAAAAUUCAAAUGCAGAAGCUGAUAUUAUAAGGAGUGACAGAGUGUUCACUUUUGUACAUACCUUUUCUUUUAAUUUAACAUAUACUUUGCUUCCUCCUUUUUUUCCCGAGAAAAAAGAAGAAGGAAGUUUGCAUCUGAGCAGCUACUACAAAAAAAUCACCCUGUCAGACGGGUUUCUCUAACAAAUAACUUCUAAUCAAAGCAUAUUUUAUAGAAUACCAAUGCAAUUAAUACACCUUCUUGCACUAUUUGUUUUCCAUUCUGGGACCAAAUAUGCGAAAUGUAGAAGAAGAAAAUGUUCGUUCAUUAAAGUAUAGUGUGAUAUAAAUGUAUGUACUAUAAAUUGGGUGUUGAUUAUUCUGUCAACAUACCUGAAAUGUUACUAAUUUGCUUGCAAUAAUGAAUGCAUGUACUGAUUUCUUUCCUAGCUCUGUUUCUAAUACCCUAAUACAGCUUAAAGAAUUAAUAAAGAUGAUAAUGUUAGGGAAAAAUCAGGUUUUUAAAUUUUUAUAAAACCUUUUGAAGAUCGCUCUCAUAUAAUAUAUAAGAAUUUGUAUUCUAGAAAUCGUACCUUGAAAAUCCGAGUUGGCUUUUUCCGCUGAAGUGAUUUAGGCUCCUAGAUCACGAUCCGCCACCACCACUCAUGUUAGAUCACGAUCCGUCACCACCACGCUUGCUAGAUCACGAACUGUCACCAAUGAUCUUCCAGGUUAUGACUCAGGUUCGAUCUACACUUGACGUGUGGGCGCCUUUAUCACUACCAAAGCAACUAACACGAGAAAAUUUUUCUCUCAACAAUAGAGAGAAAAAUCUUAUUCUCCGAUUUGUAUAAAGUGACUUUUUUUUUCUUAGAGAAAAUAAGCCUUAUAUAUCUCCCUUUAGUGAAAACCCUAGGCUCCAAAUAAUCAAAAAACAAAACUCACGUUUAUUUGCUUUUUCAAUAGGGGACCCACCUUGUAAAAUAACAUAAGGCCCCUUAUACAAAAGCUAAUUAAAUGGAGCCUCCCACUAAAUGAUAUAUUUAGCCUUUUGACCCAAAUAGCUAGUUAUCUUACUUAUUAGUCCAGUAGUGGUGCAGUCAAUUAAAUGAGCUAACCCGGGGAUCAUUUGGGAACAUACAAUAGUGGCUACAAUAAUUAGGCCUGUAAUUAAACUAGCCCAAAUAUUUAAUUCCAAAUCUACUCCACUAAAAGAUUGGAACUGACUUCCAUAAUUAUAUGCUCGAGUAAUAAUUCGUCCCAAGCCACAUUGAUUUCUUUACUACACAAUCCUUUGUUUACUACACAAUCCUUUCAAUUAAUUGUGGGAAACUCUAAUUUUUGUAAAAACUUCAAUUUUUAUUAAUUAUAUAGUAAGUAAUGAAUGGAUAAGGUGCAAUGCUAGGAGAACAUCAAAGAUUUUCUUCAAGCAUGCUGUAAUAUCAAAAGUUGUCUUAAUACCCAUAGUUGCUAACCUAUUUAUUUAACUUUUAUAAAUUUGUAAGAUCAAAAUUGUAUAAGUAAUUUUCAAUUUUUUAAUUUAAAUUUUACAUAGAUUUUCUAUUAGAUGCUUGCAAAGUUGACCAAAAUACGUUGGAAAUAUAAAAAUACAAAUGUUGGUAGCUCUGCUGUACCGUACAUCCGCCUUGGCCGUACAGCAGAUUUAUUACAGUCUAUACCUAAAUAAAGUGCCCAACUUUAUUUAUCAACUGUGAACUAAAUUUAUUUAAUCAUAAGAUAACUUGUAUUUAUGUCUUCUGUGAAUCCACAUGGUGAUCACAUAAAUACAUAUAAUAUGAUUAAAUGGACUUUAAUACAAAUAUUAAUGCAAUUAAGAUAUUUGAAUAAAAUACCUCAUUUAUUUUAUUAAUCAGAAAAAUUGUUUAUUACAAUUAAAUAAACACAUAUGCUUUUAAAGAGCAUAUUUUCCCAACAAUCUCCCACUAGCUCUCAAAGCAUAUCUGGCAUAUUGCACAUGCUCUAGGGCUCUAAGUGCAGGUUAUAAAGGUUUCCCACUAAUGGCCAUUGUAAUAAGAUCUGCCAUUUAGCAUCUAAUGCCAUUUGGGGUACUGUCAUAUAACCUUUCUACACUAUUCCCUUAUAAGAUGAUACUUCCUUUCAAUAUGUUUUGUUUCUUGUGGUUCCUUGGUUCCUUAGAUUGAGCUACCGCACCACCAUUUUUAGUUCUUUUCAGAUACUUUCAAUGCUGCUUCUCUGGCAAAAUGGGUAUUUUGCCCAAACAUCUGAUGAAGACCAGCCAUUAUUUCAGUGGUUGUUUCCAUGCUCCGAUGUUUCUUAUGCAGUUCCACAGAAAUCGAAGCCAAUAUAUAGCGCUUAGCCAUUUUGUUAGCUUCGCACCAUUUCUCAUAAGGCUCCCUCUGAUUUCUAUAAUCGUAUAACGAUGGUUCAGGAGGGCAAGGCUGGGUCAACACAUAUUUGUUUCCCUUAGCAGUGAGAAUAUUAAAUAGAUUGCGUUUCCAAUCUAAAUAAUUUUCGCCAGUGAGUUCAUUUUUAACAAGGAUAAAUAAUAAUGGGUUGAUGGAAGACAUUUUCUGAAAAAAAAAAACAAAAUAGACAUGCAUAAAUACUUUGAAACAAUAUUCACAAUAAAUGACAAAAAUGCAAAAAACCAUAAAUGCAUUUUAAUUUAUUGUAACGAUAAUCUAGUACCACUUUGACAAGCUAUCCGUUGGGGAAGUCAUGUCUACACUUACUAGACCCAAUUAUCCAUUAGAUUAUUUACUUUCAUGUAAAGACAUGAUAAAUAAUUAUCGUUAUCUUUUUGGGCCUAAAUUUGUUAACAGAGCUUCGUUGGGAAGGUUAAUAACAAACUUUAGUUGAGUGUAUAACCAUUGUUUCAAUCUACGUAUUUUUCAUAUCAAUAGUCACCGUUGGGGUAAACAAUCGAUUGAAAAAUAUUUCAAUUUUAUCUUUGAAGAAGUUCAUCAAAUAAAAUAUCUAAUAUAUAUACCCUCCGAAGGGAGCAUCACCGUAUCAUGAAGUCAAGGUAUAUAUAUAAUUUUAUUAUUNNNNNNNNNNNNNNNNNNNNNNNNNNNNNNNNNNNNNNNNNNNNNNNNNNNNNNNNNNNNNNNNNNNNNNNNNNNNNNNNNNNNNNNNNNNNNNNNNNNNNNNNNNNNNNNNNNNNNNNNNNNNNNNNNNNNNNNNNNNNNNNNNNNNNNNNNNNNNNNNNNNNNNNNNNNNNNNNNNNNNNNNNNNNNNNNNNNNNNNNNNNNNNNNNNNNNNNNNNNNNNNNNNNNNNNNNNNNNNNNNNNNNNNNNNNNNNNNNNNNNNNNNNNNNNNNNNNNNNNNNNNNNNNNNNNNNNNNNNNNNNNNNNNNNNNNNNNNNNNNNNNNNNNNNNNNNNNNNNNNNNNNNNNNNNNNNNNNNNNNNNNNNNNNNNNNNNNNNNNNNNNNNNNNNNNNNNNNNNNNNNNNNNNNNNNNNNNNNNNNNNNNNNNNNNNNNNNNNNNNNNNNNNNNNNNNNNNNNNNNNNNNNNNNNNNNNNNNNNNNNNNNNNNNNNNNNNNNNNNNNNNNNNNNNNNNNNNNNNNNNNNNNNNNNNNNNNNNNNNNNNNNNNNNNNNNNNNNNNNNNNNNNNNNNNNNNNNNNNNNNNNNNNNNNNNNNNNNNNNNNNNNNNNNNNNNNNNNNNNNNNNNNNNNNNNNNNNNNNNNNNNNNNNNNNNNNNNNNNNNNNNNNNNNNNNNNNNNNNNNNNNNNNNNNNNNNNNNNNNNNNNNNNNNNNNNNNNNNNNNNNNNNNNNNNNNNNNNNNNNNNNNNNNNNNNNNNNNNNNNNNNNNNNNNNNNNNNNNNNNNNNNNNNNNNNNNNNNNNNNNNNNNNNNNNNNNNNNNNNNNNNNNNNNNNNNNNNNNNNNNNNNNNNNNNNNNNNNNNNNNNNNNNNNNNNNNNNNNNNNNNNNNNNNNNNNNNNNNNNNNNNNNNNNNNNNNNNNNNNNNNNNNNNNNNNNNNNNNNNNNNNNNNNNNGCAAAUUUCAAACAAUAUAAUGAAAUUCAUAAUUAAUGAAUGACAUGUAUCAUUAUGCAUAGAGUGGCACUACCUAUUCUAUAUGACAUGUUAUCAUGGCGUGUUAUCAUCCAAAACAUAACAUAAAGAAAAACAAUUAAAUAAUCUUAAUUCAUGGCUUUCCUAAUAAUGAAAAAUACAUUAACCCUAAGCCUAAUCUUCAAUGGGCUUCUUGUCAAUGUCCAUAUUCCAUAAGCUUGUUUUUGUUAAUGGACUAGGGGAAAUUGGGCUUUUAAAUUUAUAAUUGGUCUAAUUUUAAUUUUGAAAGGAAAUAAAUAAAUAAAUAAAUUAAAAUGUCCAUCUUCCAUAAGCUUGUUUUUGUUAAUGGACUAGGGGAAAUUGGGCUUUUAAAUUUAUAAUUGGUCCAAUUUUAAUUUUCAAAAAUAAUUUUAUUUUUUUAUUUUUUUUAUUAAAAUAAAACUUUUGGACCAAAAAUAAAUUUAAUGUAUUUAAUUUUGUCUAUGCAUUUUUAAUCCAUUAAGCCCAAUUGAAAUUGAGCCUAAAACUAGGAUUCAUUAAACUCAAAACUGUUUUUGGAUUUAAAUGCAAAAAAUUAAAAAACUUUCUACCCAAAUGAAAAAUUAUGGAACCAUAGGGACCUCCAUGAUAAAAACCAUGUAACCCUAAAUUUAUAUUUUUCUUCCUCUCUUCCCCAGUCGCCAUCCCCAAAAAAAUCCAGCCGCUGCUCAUGAUUUUCCAGCCAUCUCCGACCGGCCUCCGUCGCUCCGAUCUUGAAAAUCCAAGAUUAAUUUACAAAUUUCCUAGGCUAAUUUUGGCUUACAAAAAUUCUAUAACAGUAAAAUAAAUCAAGAGGGAAACAUGGUGAUAAAAAACCACCCCUCCUGUUACAGAUCCAAAGAAAAAAUACAACAGAAAAUCUAACCAUGAAUUAAGACAAACCAAAACAUGCUUUAUUCAUAUAUUAAACAAAUAAUAUAUAUCUGAAUNNNNNNNNNNNNNNNNNNNNNNNNNNNNNNNNNNNNNNNNNNNNNNNNNNNNNNNNNNNNNNNNNNNNNNNNNNNNNNNNNNNNNNNNNNNNNNNNNNNNNNNNNNNNNNNNNNNNNNNNNNNNNNNNNNNNNNNNNNNNNNNNNNNNNNNNNNNNNNNNNNNNNNNNNNNNNNNNNNNNNNNNNNNNNNNNNNNNNNNNNNNNNNNNNNNNNNNNNNNNNNNNNNNNNNNNNNNNNNNNNNNNNNNNNNNNNNNNNNNNNNNNNNNNNNNNNNNNNNNNNNNNNNNNNNNNNNNNNNNNNNNNNNNNNNNNNNNNNNNNNNNNNNNNNNNNNNNNNNNNNNNNNNNNNNNNNNNNNNNNNNNNNNNNNNNNNNNNNNNNNNNNNNNNNNNNNNNNNNNNNNNNNNNNNNNNNNNNNNNNNNNNNNNNNNNNNNNNNNNNNNNNNNNNNNNNNNNNNNNNNNNNNNNNNNNNNNNNNNNNNNNNNNNNNNNNNNNNNNNNNNNNNNNNNNNNNNNNNNNNNNNNNNNNNNNNNNNNNNNNNNNNNNNNNNNNNNNNNNNNNNNNNNNNNNNNNNNNNNNNNNNNNNNNNNNNNNNNNNNNNNNNNNNNNNNNNNNNNNNNNNNNNNNNNNNNNNNNNNNNNNNNNNNNNNNNNNNNNNNNNNNNNNNNNNNNNNNNNNNNNNNNNNNNNNNNNNNNNNNNNNNNNNNNNNNNNNNNNNNNNNNNNNNNNNNNNNNNNNNNNNNNNNNNNNNNNNNNNNNNNNNNNNNNNNNNNNNNNNNNNNNNNNNNNNNNNNNNNNNNNNNNNNNNNNNNNNNNNNNNNNNNNNNNNNNNNNNNNNNNNNNNNNNNNNNNNNNNNNNNNNNNNNNNNNNNNNNNNNNNNNNNNNNNNNNNNNNNNNNNNNNNNNNNNNNNNNNNNNNNNNNNNNNNNNNNNNNNNNNNNNNNNNNUUCUGGGGGCUUCUUUUUCAAUAAAGCCGAGAGAUGAUGAGUGUGAUGGUCCACAUGUGGGAGGAAAUCACGGAUGUAAUUGAUAAUGCCGAGAAACCUGCUGUACCGUACAUCCGCCUUGGCCGUACAGCAGCUGUUCAAUGUAGUCGUACUACAUCAAUAAAUUCAUACAUGAUUAAGACAAAUCAUUUAAUGAAUUUAUUACAGUCUAUACCUAAAUAAAGUGCCAAGCUUUAUUUAUCAACUGCGAACUAAAUUUAUUUAAUCAUAAGAUAACUUGUAUUUAUGUCUUCUGUGAAUCCACAUGGUGAUCACAUAAAUACAUAUAAUAUGAUUAAAUGGACUUUAAUACAAGUAUUAAUGCAAUUAAGAUAUUUGAAUAAAAUACCUCAUUUAUUUUAUUAAUCAGAAAAAUAGUUUAUUAUAAUUAAAUAAACACAUAUGCUUUUAAAGAGCAUAUUUUCCCAACAGAUAAUACAGAUAAGUUAGUAAACAGAGUUAAAAUAUUUUGUUCUGUUUGGUUAACAAGAAAGUAAAGGAAAAUGUUUAACGGGAGAGAAAUCUAGAAACUGAAAAAUGAUUCUUAUUAAGCUCAAAAACAAUCUAAAUGUUACAGAGGUAUUUAUAGCAUAGUCUGGACCCUUCUCCAGCAUGCAAAGCUUGAGCUGGAAACUAACUAAUUGCAACAAAUUCUUGGCGGGAAUUUAACAAACUUAAACAGCUAAUAUCACUUUGCAUAACAGCAUGCCAGCUUGGCAAUUGACUAAGCACUCUGCUUGCAGGGCAAUCUGAUCCAGCAGCUUACACAGCAAUCUGACUCAACAUAUAAUCUUAACAAACAGAACCCAUCUAGGUUCAACCAAACAUAAAGUUGACAGAAACCAAAUCUUGUAUUGCUUAGUAAACAGAAACCAUUAAAGCUAAUACACUCUCUUUGACAGUAUCCAAAGGCUACAAGAUUAAUAAUCAAAGCAUAUUUUAGAUUAAGAGACAUAAAUUAUAAUCAAAGCAGUUUUUUAUGUCUGCUUCUUCGUUAAUGAUUAUCAAACUCAGUUACAAUCAAAGCAGACAUAAAUUAUAAUCAAAGCAGUUAUAGUUUCCUCAAUUUAUGUCUGCUUCUUCGUUAUUCGACCACACACACUAGUAAGUGUUGGAAAAAAAAAGCAAGCAAUCGCUGUCUAUAGGAGAAAUCAGGCAUGGAUUCAGAGUUCAGACAAUCCACUUGAAGCUUCCCCCAUAAAGAAAACAAACGCUUCCAACGAACGUGUUCUCCACCUGAUACUGGAACUGCACAACAUAAUUGAUAUACUCAUUUCAUUUGGUUUAAUUUUCUGCGGUCACUUGUUGACUGAGAAAUUUUGGUGGUCCACGCACGCAGGUGGGUGUGUUUCUGUGUGCUGUGUCGUGAGGAAAAAGUUUUCUCGCCUUCUCAUAUUCUUAUUAACUUUGGCUUCAAGGAACAAGGGCAAAAAUUAAAAGACCAUCCUCUCAUCUCAUCAUUCACAGCCAUAUGUUUAUUAAUACAAUACACAUGGGGGCUUUUUUUGACUAACUUUCUUGCUAAUAUAACAUCAGAAUGUGGUUCCUUCAGAUCUCCAAACCGAGAAUAUCGAAUAUGUUGUUGCUAAAAUGAGAGUAAUUAAUUAUAGUUAAAAUUAAAAAUCCACAAUUAAUAAGAAUAAAUGAGUUUAUUUUUACGUUAUUGAUUAUAUUUUUGGACGUUAUUGAUUAUAUUUUUGUCAUUUACCUUGGAUGAAUUUUCUUAAUUUAAAUAAAAGAAUUGUGAUAUCUAUCCAGGUUUAACAAGACGUCGAAUCAUUAUACAGUAUGUAUAUAGUUUGUAAUUAAUUAUAUAACAAAUAAACAAAAGAAAAUUGGAAUUAUAAUAUAUUAAAUAUUAAACGCUAUAUAGUUUGUAAUUAAUUAUAUAACAAAUAAACAAAAGAAAAUUGGAAUUAUAUAUUAAAUAUUAAACGCAUGCUACAAUUAUGUCACAUUUAGCAUAUGCUAUAUACGACCGAUUUGCGUGUAUAUUCUCAUACGUUUUAUUUGUCAUUUUGUAGAACAUUAUUACACACUAUAUUAUCACGACUCUUCUCUAUCUGAACACUAUUGGCUGUGCAUAAUGCGACCGUCCAACAGCUUAUCCAUGGAAUUAUCACCACUAUAUUGUAUUGCUUUAAAAAAAAUAAUAUUUUUUAAUAUUAAUAUUCUUAAUUAUAUUAAGUUAAAAUAUUAAAUAUUAAAUACAUUCUUAAUAUUAAUAUUCUUAGAUGAAAUUCUUUUGCGGACUUAAGAGUAAAAUAUUAAAUAAUUUUAUUUUUCUUUUAUUGUGUAACGUGGACCAAAAAAAAGGAAAUGAAUUUAAUAAAACCUUCAUUCCGCCACCAUGCAUGUUAAUUGUUUCCAAAUUCCAACCUCCGUAGUCCGUACUCUCUUGAGGAGUUUCCCAUUCAUCAAUUAUUAUUUUUUAUAAUCCAUAUCAUCCUGAUAUAAUUAAACACCAUUAAUAAUGUACCAGCCUUUAAAUAGUAAUUAAUUUAUUUAGUUUGCCACCUAAAAGAAUCCUGCAGGAAAUAGAGGUUAAAAAUUUUAUGAGUUUGAUAAUAGAGUUGUAUUAUGCCAUAAUUGUAUUAAAAAUUGCAUUUUUUUUUAUAACAAGACAUAAAAAAGCAUAUUUUUUUAUGUCUCAGCAAACACUUAUAAUUCACAAAUAGUGAAUCCAUGCAUUGACAAUGUGGAUUAAGAAUUAUAACACAUGAAUUCAAGCAUAUUUUAAAUUAAGAGACAUAAAUUAGACGCAUAACAAUAAAUUAGAGGAAAAACAGAUCAACUUGGUGAGAUUAAUCGGAUACAAACAUGAAAUUCUUGAAUAAAAGCGAGAAUAAAACCAACCCUCUUCCUUUGUAUCGAAACCGAUCGAGAUCAAAAAUUUCAAAUGAAAGCGAAAGCUUCUUCGAUCCAACGGGAGUCAGAGAGUGAGAGCCGAAAUUCACGAAAUUAGGGAACUAAGCCAUCAAAUUUGGUGAGAUUAAUUGAAAACAAACCUGAAAAUUCAUGAUGAAUAGCGAGAUUUAAACCAAAAAUGUUCGUCUUCAUUGAAACUGAGAUCGUAAAAUUUCAAAUGAUUGUGAGAGAGAAAGCUGAUAUGUUUUCUCCUUUUCCUUUUUUUACACCCCCCGGGGCGAGGACGAAGGCGUGGGGCCGAGAGAUAAAGAAUUUCGCUGUUAUUUUUUUUUAACUUUUUCGAAUUUCAAGUACUACGAAAUUUUAAAAUAUUAUUUAUUCUUCACCAUUUUCUUCAGUUUUAGCUUUCUAUAUAGAAUUUUAUCCCAAACAAAAAAAGCUUUCGAUAUAUAAUUAGUUAAGUUGGUUAAUAUAGUCAAAUGUUUUUGACAUUAAUAAAUGUCAUGAAUCCUGUUCCAAUUUUAUUGGCAUAAUAAACAUUUCUUUUUUAAAGUGAUAUAAAAUGAAUAUUUUUACUGUCAGAAUUUAACUCAACCUAUUUAACUGUCCUUAAAAAUUAUCAAAUACUAAAUGUCAAAAUUUUCUUUUGGGGAUUGCCAAUUUCCUACUACUAAAAUUCACUUACUUCCUACUAUUUUCAUAAUAGAUAAUAAUCCCAAUAGUAAAAUUUCACAAUAUUAUUCUUAUUUUCAAAUACACUUUUAUUAAUAUUUAUUAUAAAUUAAAAAAUCAUAUAGACGUAAAUUGAAUUAAAAAAUUUAAGUAUUACAAAUUAGAAAUCUGCUGUACCUCACUAGUGGUUAACUGCUGACUCAGCCAAGUGUUGGCUUCACUUGAUUCACCGAUUGAGGUUAUUUUGUCUUCUAUCUAAUGCAGCGAAGAAGCUUUGCUGCUUAACAUGCUGCAAUGCAACUUUAUCCUUUGAAGUUCACACUCCAGGGCUGCGCACUUUAUGUAAUCCUAUGAGUAAAAAGAAUUUGUUUUCAAAUGUGAAAAAAGAAAAUGUAAGGUAGUAACUAAAUAUAUUAUAGCAUCAAAGCAAGAUUUGAUAUGAAUUUAGUACAACAAAGAACAUCAAAUCUGUGAUUCCUUGUCUAAUGUCACCAUCGAGCAACAAAUUUAAAAGCCUACCUAUCAAAUACACGAGGCAAUAAACGGAGAAAAAGUUGAAUUACAAGAACAAGUUUACAAUUCUUGUCAAUGGUUAAUGAUUUGUGAACUGAGAUAUCAUUCAAGAAUCCAAUUUCAAUACAACAACCUAAAAGAUAAACAGAUGAUGAAUUUUAUGAGAUAAAAAAGGAGAUCGUGUUUUAUCGUAUCUCUAUUUUCUUUCUUUUUAAAUUUAUGAGAUAAAGCGGUUGGUCCAGUUACGGUGUUAUGCUAACGGGUUUAAAGGUUCCGAUCCAAUGAGUUAGGGUGGAAUAUGAAUAUAUAAAUUCCAUAGCAUGUAAGGACUAGGAUUUGUUUGUUCAUAUCAAGAAAAAAAAUCUGAAAAUUUGAUGAUCAGAAGAUAAAAACACUUAAACACGUUUAUUUCAGAGAAACAAACGACAACAUGAAACUAGUAGUAGUUAUUCUUUUCAUCCGAUAUAUUACAUGGUAAUAUCACUACUCGUUCCACUGGUUUCAUAUACACCAUCGACCAGCAACAUGAUAAUUUCGUGUCAGUUCAUUUUGUUUGUAGGAAAGAGCAGUGUAUUUCUUAGAGCUUGAAAAUAAUAAAAAGAUUUUAAAAUAUAAAUUGCAUAUUUGUUUAUUACUGUUGUUUGGUCUAAUUUCUUAUGUAGAAUUGCUUGUCAUUCUUUGGACGUUAUUGAUUAUAUUUUUAUCAGACUUGGCGUAUAUAUUCACAUACGUUUUAUUUUGUCAUUUUGGCACUUUAACUCAUGAUAUGAUGGUCCAGGUUUUCGAGGACCACUAUAUUGUAUUGAUUUAAAAAAAAAAUUAAUAUUUUUUAAUAUUAAUAUUCUAAAUUAUAUUCAGUUAAAAUAUUAAAUAUUAAAUACAUUCUUAAUAUUAAUAUUCUUAGAUGAAAUUCUUUUGCUGACUUAAGAAUAAAAUAUUAAAUAAUUUUAUUUUUCUUUUAUUGUGUAACGUGGACCCAAAAAAAAAAAGGAAAUGAAUUUAAUAAAACCUUCAUUCCGCCACCAUGCAUGUUAAUUGUUUCCAAAUUCCAACCUCCGUAGUCCGUACUCUCUUGAGGAGUUUCCCAUUCAUCAAUUAUUAUUUUUUAUAAUCCAUAUCAUCCUGAUAUAAUUAAACACCAUUAAUAAUGUACCAGCCUUUAAAUAGUAAUUAAUUUAUUUAGUUUGCCACCUAAAAGAAUCCUGCAGGAAAUAGAGGUUAAAAAUUUUAUUAAAUUUGCUUACCGCUGUAUCAUUAUAUAUAUAAAGAGGGAAAUCUAAAUGAAAUUUUUUAUCAUCCAUUCAGCAAACACUUAUAAUUCACAAAUAGUGAAUCCAUGCAUUGACAAUGUGGAUUAAGAAUUAUAACACAUGAAUUCAAACAUACUGAGUUUGAUAAUAGAGUUGUAUUAUGCCAUAAUUGUAUUAAAAAUUGCAUUUUUUUUUAUAACAAGACAUAAAAAAGCAUAUUUUUUUAUGUCUCAGCAAACACUUAUAAUUCACAAAUAGUGAAUCCAUGCAUUGACAAUGUGGAUUAAGAAUUAUAACACAUGAAUUCAAGCAUAUUUUAAAUUAAGAGACAUAAAUUAGACGCAUAACAAUAAAUUAGAGGAAAAACAGAUCAACUUGGUGAGAUUAAUCGGAUACAAACAUGAAAUUCUUGAAUAAAAGCGAGAAUAAAACCAACCCUCUUCCUUUGUAUCGAAACCGAUCGAGAUCAAAAAUUUCAAAUGAAAGCGAAAGCUUCUUCGAUCCAACGGGAGUCAGAGAGUGAGAGCCGAAAUUCACGAAAUUAGGGAACUAAGCCAUCAAAUUUGGUGAGAUUAAUUGAAAACAAACCUGAAAAUUCAUGAUGAAUAGCGAGAUUUAAACCAAAAAUGUUCGUCUUCAUUGAAACUGAGAUCGUAAAAUUUCAAAUGAUUGUGAGAGAGAAAGCUGAUAUGUUUUCUCCUUUUCCUUUUUUUACACCCCCCGGGGCGAGGACGAAGGCGUGGGGCCGAGAGAUAAAGAAUUUCGCUGUUAUUUUUUUUUAACUUUUUCGAAUUUCAAGUACUACGAAAUUUUAAAAUAUUAUUUAUUCUUCACCAUUUUCUUCAGUUUUAGCUUUC
rnacentral:lncRNA from 1 species